UUGCAGUAUUUUGAAGAACUGUUCACAAUCAAGUUGAUCAAUACUUUAUUACUCUUUUGAGCACAUGGACAUUGAACCUGCCUUACACCCAAGACCUUUUUAGCACAUUAUAAAACAUUGUAUCCAUCAUUCGUUAGACAUUCAGUUAUAGCAGCAACAAAGGCCACCAUGGUCCGGUGUGCAGUGGCCUUUUUUGAAUUCAAAAAAAUGCACAAUGAUCAAUGCAUGGCUGGUCGGAUAAAGUGUCUCCUUCACAACUUUUAAAUUUGAUGCACAAGUAGGGAAGGGGGGUUGGUUUUGGAUCUACACACAAAAAAAUAUAGCAAAGUUAGAAUAUAUAAAAUACUUAAGUUACUUGGGUUAGUUUGAAUUACAUAUGCAAAGGCAUGUGCGCUUACACAAAGUGCGCAUAAACAAAUCCCAAAACAAGCAGGAAGGUUGAUUAGAUAGAGAAAUGGUUGUACCUGCAUGACAUGAGAAUAGAGUAGACAUCAUCACAAGAGCUACCAAGCAUAGAGCUCUUGUAUUGCUCUUGGUAAGAUCCAUAAGAAGUCACUACUAGAAAAAGGGUCAAAUGUGAAGCACAUUAGUGCCGGUUUAAAUUUGAGCCGGCACUAAUGUGACCAUUAGUGCCGGUUUCAACGGCUAGGCAGGCGGGCAUCAUUAGUACCGGUUCGUGGGCAACCUUUAGUACCGGUUCAUGCCACGAACCGGUACUAAUGAGGCUGUGGCAGGCUAUGGUCAGGCUGGGGCCCCCACGAAGACCUUUAGUAUCGGUUCAUGCCCUGAACCGGUACUAGAGUUUCUUAGUAAGCUGAUUUUUAGUCCCACCUCGCCAAGAGAGAGGCAGUAUGAGCGGUUUAUAAGCCGUGAGUGCACAGACAAUGACGAAGAGUUGCAAUGCUCACCUGCAUGUUGAUUAGCUUCAAGCCUUGCGGAAAUAGCAUAGAUUGCACUGAGCUAUGUGCAGUGCAGUCUACACUAUUCCGAAUGGCUUGAAGCAAAUUAACCAGCACUGCACCUCUUUUUUAUUUUUAAUAACUUAUUUGAACUUCGGACUUCUUUUGUGUUCGGUAUGCAGCAUUCAAAGCGACGUCAUCAAUUUCCAACAUGUUUUGACAUCAUUUAUUGUUUUUCGGUCAUUUACCGAAUUGUUUAGAGAGCUAAAUGACCGUGAAAUUGAAAAUUACUACAAAAUGAAUUCUGAAAAUGUUGAAACUUGGCAUGGUAUCAGCAUUUCACCCGCAUAGCAUGUGCGAAAGAGUAGAGAGGGUCACGGCAAAAACUGGACGCAGUUCGUGUACAAACUGGACAAACUCUUUCGGAGUAUCAGGGUUUCGGACGAGAACUCAUCUGUUACACGGGCACUUUAAUGUUUUUUAAACUUAUUUGAACUCCGGACUUCUUUUGUGUUCAGUAUGCAACAUUUAAAGCGACGUCAUCAAUUUCUAACAUGUUCUGACAUCAUUUGUUGUUUUUCGGUCAUUUACCUAAUUGUUUAGAGAGNNNNNNNNNNNNNNNNNNNNNNNNNNNNNNNNNNNNNNNNNNNNNNNNNNNNNNNNNNNNNNNNNNNNNNNNNNNNNNNNNNNNNNNNNNNNNNNNNNNNNNNNNNNNNNNNNNNNNNNNNNNNNNNNNNNNNNNNNNNNNNNNNNNNNNNNNNNNNNNNNNNNNNNNNNNNNNNNNNNNNNNNNNNNNNNNNNNNNNNNNNNUCUGUUCAGUAUGCAGCAUUCAAAGCGACUUCAUCAAUUUCCAACAUGUUCUAACAUCAUUUGUUUUUUUCAGUCAUUUACCUAAUUGUUUAGAGAGCUAAAUGAUUUUGAAAUUGAAAAUCACUAUAAAAUGAAUUCUGAAAAUGUUGAAACUUGGCAUGGUAUCAUCAUUUCACCCGCAUAGCAUGUGCAAAAGAGUAGAGAGGGUCACGGCAAAAACUAGACGCACUUCGUGUACAAACUGGACAAACUCUUUCGGAGUAUCAGGGUUUCGGACAAGAACUCAUCUGUUACACGGGCACUUCAAUGUUUUUUAAUAUCAUUUGAACUCCAGACUUCUUUUGUGUUCGGUAUGUAGCAUUCAAAGUGAUGUCAUCAAUUUCCAACAUGUUCUAACAUCAUUUGUUGUUUUUUGGUCAUUUACCUAAUUGUUUAGAGAGAUAAAUGACCGUGAAAUUGAAAAUCACUACAAAAUGAAUUCUAAAAAUGUAGAAACUUGGCAUGGUAUCAUCAUUUCACCCGCAUAGCAUGUGCGAAAGAGUAGAGAGGGUCACGGCAAAAACUGGAUGCACUUCAUGUACAAAUUGGACAAACUCUUUCGGAGUAUCAGGGUUUCGGACAAGAACUCAUCUGUUACACGGGCACUUCAAUGUUUUUUAAACUUAUUUGAACUCCGGACUUCUUUUGUGUUCAGUAUGCAGCAUUCAAAGCGACAUCAUCAAUUUCUAACAUGUUCUAACAUCAUUUGUUGUUUUUCGGUCAUUUACCUAAUUGUUUAGAGAGCUAAAUGAUCGUGAAGUUGAAAAUCACUAAAAAUGAAUUCUGAAAAUGUUGAAACUUGGCAUGNNNNNNNNNNNNNNUCAUUUGUUACACGGGCACUUCAAUGUUUUUUAAACUUAUUUGAACUCCGGACUUCUUUUAUGUUCAGUAUGCAGCAUUCAAAGCGACGUCAUCAAUUUCCAACAUGUUCUGACAUCAUUUGUUCUUUUUCGGUCAUUUACCUAAUUGUUUAGAGAGCUAAAUGAUCGUGAAAUUGAAAAUCACUACAAAAUGACUUCUGAAAAUGUUGAAACUUGGCAUGGUAUCAUCAUUUCACCCGCAUAGCAUAUGCGAAAGAGUAGAGAGGGUCAAGGCAAAAACUAGACACACUUCGUGUACAAACUGGACAAACUCUUUCGGAGUAUCAGGGUUUCGGACGAGAACUCAUCUGUUACACGGGCACUUUAAUGUUUUUUAAACUUAUUUGAACUCCGGACUUCUUUUGUGUUCAGUAUGCAGCAUUCAAAGCGACGUCAUCAAUUUCCAACAUGUUCUGACAUCAUUUGUUGUUUUUCGGUCAUUUACCUAAUUGUUUAGAGAGCUAAAUGACCGUGAAAUUGAAAAUCACUACAAAAUGACUUCUAAAAAUGUUGAAACUUUGCAUGGUAUCAUCAUUUCACGCGCAUAGCAUGUGCGAAAGAGUAGAGAGGGUCACGACAAAAACUGGACGCACUUCGUGUACAAACUGGACAAACUCUUUCGGAGUAUCAGGGUUUCGCACGAGAACUCAUCUGUUACACGGGCACUUCAAUGUUUUUAAAACUUAUUUGAACUCUGGACUUCUUUUGUGUUCAGCAUGCAGCAUUCAAAGCGAUAUCAUCAAUUUCCAACAUGUUCUAACAUCAUUUGUUAUUUUUCGGUCAUUUACCUAAUUGUUUAGAGAGCUAAAUGACCGUGAAAUUGAAAAUCACUACAAAAUGACUUCUGAAAAUGUUGAAACUUGGCAUGGUAUCAUCAUUUCACCCGCAUAGCAUGUGCGAAAGAGUAGAGAGGGUCACGGCAAAAAUUGGACGCACUUCGUGUACAAACUGAAAAUAGAAGAAAAGAAAUAAUGCAGAAAAGAAAAAACUAUACAAAAAAUUACUCAAAAAUAAAUAGAAGAAAAUAAAUAAUGCAAAAAAGAAAAAAAAACUAUAUAAAAAAUUACUUAAAAAUAAAUAGAAGAAAAUAAAAAAUGCAGAAAAGAAAAAACUAUAUAAAAAAUUUGUUGGCGCACUGCCCAGUGGGUCUGCCAGACCUAGGGUGUGCAAAUGCAGGCCCAGAAAGGCCAGCAGACUCACAGGGCAGCGCGCCCUAGUUAGGCCCAAAAGCCUGCUAUAUAGAGAAGCUCGAAGGAGCAGCCGCGGCUGAGUUUAUAAACCAGUGCGGUUGCCCUUCGCUCGGCGAGGUGGGACUAAAUAUUUGUGCACCGCCGGUGGCAGCGCACAACCAUUAGUACCGGUUGGUGGCUCCAACCGAUACUAAAGGGGGGGUCUUUAGCACCGGUUCGUGGCACAAACCGAUACUAAAGAGGUCGUUUCCCGCCCCUUGGCCGGCGAAAAUUGGCCUUUAUUACCGGUUGGUGGCUCCAACCGUACUAAAGACCCCUCCUAUAUAUAUGGCACUUACAAAAAAUCAGUUUCAUCGACGACCAGUACUUCUUCUCGAUCCAACUUCUUCGCCGCGCCUGUCGCCCAUCGCGCGCCGCCCUCGCCGCCUGUCGUCGCCGUCACCGCCAUCGCCCACGCCACCCGUCGUCGCCGUCACCGCCGUCGCCCCCGCCACCCGUCGUCGCCGNNNNNNNNNNNNNNNNNNNNNNNNNNNNNNNNNNNNNNNNNNNNNNNNNNNNNNNNNNNNNNNNNNNNNNNNNNNNNNNNNNNNNNNNNNNNNNNNNNNNNNNNNNNNNNNNNNNNNNNNNNNNNNNNNNNNNNNNNNNNNNNNNNNNNNNNNNNNNNNNNNNNNNNNNNNNNNNNNNNNNNNNNNNNNNNNNNNNNNNNNNNNNNNNNNNNNNNNNNNNNNNNNNNNNNNNNNNNNNNNNNNNNNNNNNNNNNNNNNNNNNNNNNNNNNNNNNNNNNNNNNNNNNNNNNNNNNNNNNNNNNNNNNNNNNNNNNNNNNNNNNNNNNNNNNNNNNNNNNNNNNNNNNNNNNNNNNNNNNNNNNNNNNNNNNNNNNNNNNNNNNNNNNNNNNNNNNNNNNNNNNNNNNNNNNNNNNNNNNNNNNNNNNNNNNNNNNNNNNNNNNNNNNNNNNNNNNNNNNNNNNNNNNNNNNNNNNNNNNNNNNNNNNNNNNNNNNNNNNNNNNNNNNNNNNNNNNNNNNNNNNNNNNNNNNNNNNNNNNNNNNNNNNNNNNNNNNNNNNNNNNNNNNNNNNNNNNNNNNNNNNNNNNNNNNNNNNNNNNNNNNNNNNNNNNNNNNNNNNNNNNNNNNNNNNNNNNNNNNNNNNNNNNNNNNNNNNNNNNNNNNNNNNNNNNNNNNNNNNNNNNNNNNNNNNNNNNNNNNNNNNNNNNNNNNNNNNNNNNNNNNNNNNNNNNNNNNNNNNNNNNNNNNNNNNNNNNNNNNNNNNNNNNNNNNNNNNNNNNNNNNNNNNNNNNNNNNNNNNNNNNNNNNNNNNNNNNNNNNNNNNNNNNNNNNNNNNNNNNNNNNNNNNNNNNNNNNUAGUUUAGUUGAAUUUUUUAGUUGAACUAGUUAGUUGAAUUAGUUCAAUUAAUUAGGUAUAUUCUUCGUAAAUGCUUAGUUGAAUUAGUUCAAUUAAUUAGGUAUAUUCUUCGUAAAUGCUUAGUUGAAUUAGUUCAAUUAAUUAGUUGAACUAGUUGAAUUAACAGAAUUAGUUGAAUUAAUAGAACUAAUAAGUGUUUAAUGUUUCACCUAUGAACAUAGGAAUGUCGUGUGACGACGAACACGAUUUUAUUAUGUGCGAAUACUGCGAAGACCAGCGGGGCCCGUGCGGCAGAAAUUUUCUAGUUGAUGAUAGACGCUUCAGCAUCAAGCUAGAUGAGAACUUCGAAGUGGAUACAGUAAGUCACAACGACAAGUCUUUUUUCGUAAUUAAGCAUGACUUAUGCUUCAUUUGCUUCACCUUUUAAUUUUAAUUUUUCACUAUUCUACUAGCGUAUCCCCUGCCAUGUAAGAAUUUUUGUCUUGGAUAAGAUAGGUUUCAGUCCUAACGAAACUAUGGAGGUAAAAAGAGUUUACUUGAAGACCGAGCAUGGUUAUACCUUCAACGUCAAAUUAUACAAUGCAGACACAUACACCUAUUUUGAAUGCAAAACUUGGCAAGCACUAUGCAAGGCUUAUGCAUUUGAGCCUGAUAUGGUUAUCACCUUGAUAUUCGUCCGGAAGAUGAUAUUGAAGGUAAUAGAGACAUCUGGGUCGAUGUGCAGACGCCUCCAGUUCUAUCAUUAUGUGAGUUUCUCAACCAUAUUUAUGUCUUCGAUAUGAGAUUAUUUGAACCAGUUGAAUAAUUAAUAGAUCUCAAUUUAUAUUGACAACUUACUUCCAAUCAAGCAAACAUGUCCGGCGCUUGGUAGACAGGACCGUCCACUGUCCCGGGGCUGAACUAAACUGCGAGGAGACAAGUCAUUAUGUUUCAUGGCUUGAGGAUCUUGAUGCUGUCAAGACAAAUUCUUUCGGAGUAUCAGGGUUUCGGAUGAGAACUCAUCUGUUACACGGGCACUUCAAUGUUUUUUAAACUUAUUUGAACUCCGGACUUCUUUUGUGUUCAGUAUGCUGCAUUCAAAGUGACGUCAUCAAUUUCCAACAUGUCCUGACAUCAUUUGUUGUUUUUUGGUCAUUUACCUAAUUGUUUAGAGAGCUAAAUACCAUGAAAUUGAAAAUCACUAGAAAAUGAACUCUGAAAAUGUUGAAACUUGGCAUGGUAUCAUCAUUUCACCCGCAUAGCAUGUGCGAAAGAGUAGAGAGGGUCACGGCAAAAACUGGACGCACUUCAUGUACAAACUGGACAAACUCUUUUGGAGUAUUAGGGUUUCGGACGAGAACUCAUCUGUUACACGGGCACUUCAAUGUUUUUAAAACUUAUUUGAACUCCGGACUUCUUUUGUGUUCAGCAUGCAGCAUUCAAAGCGACAUCAUCAAUUUCCAACAUGUUCUGACAUCAUUUGUUGUUUUUCGGUCAUUUACCUAAUUGUUUAGAGAGCUAAAUGACCGUGAAAUUGAAAAUCACUACAAAAUGACUUCUGAAAAUGUUGAAACUUUGCAUGGUAUCAUCAUUUCACCCGCAUAGCAUGUGCGAAAGAGUAGAGAGGGUCACGGCAAAAACUGGACGCACUUCGUGUACAAACUGGAAAUAGAAGAAAAGAAAUAAUGCAGAAAAGAAAAAAACUAUACAAAAAAUUACUCAAAAAUAAAUAGAAGAAAAUAAAUAAUGCAGAAAAGAAAAAAACUAUAUAAAAAAUUACUCAAAAAUAAAUAGAAGAAAAUAAAUAAUGCAGAAAAGAAAAAACUAUAUAAAAAAUUUGUUGGCGCGCUCCCCAGUGGGUCUGCCAGACCUAGGGUGUGCAAAUGCAGGCCCAGAAAGGCCAGCAGACUCACAGGGCAGCGCGCCCUAGUUAGGCCCAAAAGCCUGCUAUAUAGAGAAGCUCAAAGGAGCAGCCGCGGGUGGGUUUAUAAACCAGUGCGGCUGCCCUUCGCUCGGCGAGGUGGGACUAAACAUUGUGCACCGCCGGUGGCAGCGCACAACCAUUAGUACCGGUUGGUGUCUCCAACCGAUACUAAUGAUUGGGCCUUUAGUACCGGUUUGUGGCACGAACCGGUACUAAAGGGGCCGUUUCCCGCCCCUUGGCCUGGCGAAAAUUGGCCUUUAGUACCGGUUGGUGGCUCCAACCGGUACUAAAGGCCCCUCCUAUAUGUAUGGCACUUACAAAAAAUUCAGUUUCAUCGACCACCACUUCUUCUCAAUCCAACUUCUUCGACACGCCCGUCGCCCAUCGCGCGCCGCCUUCGCCGCCCCCGCCGCCCGUCGUCGCCGUCACCGCCGUCGCCCCCNNNNNNNNNNNNNNNNNNNNNNNNNNNNNNNNNNNNNNNNNNNNNNNNNNNNNNNNNNNNNNNNNNNNNNNNNNNNNNNNNNNNNNNNNNNNNNNNNNNNNNNNNNNNNNNNNNNNNNNNNNNNNNNNNNNNNNNNNNNNNNNNNNNNNNNNNNNNNNNNNNNNNNNNNNNNNNNNNNNNNNNNNNNNNNNNNNNNNNNNNNNNNNNNNNNNNNNNNNNNNNNNNNNNNNNNNNNNNNNNNNNNNNNNNNNNNNNNNNNNNNNNNNNNNNNNNNNNNNNNNNNNNNNNNNNNNNNNNNNNNNNNNNNNNNNNNNNNNNNNNNNNNNNNNNNNNNNNNNNNNNNNNNNNNNNNNNNNNNNNNNNNNNNNNNNNNNNNNNNNNNNNNNNNNNNNNNNNNNNNNNNNNNNNNNNNNNNNNNNNNNNNNNNNNNNNNNNNNNNNNNNNNNNNNNNNNNNNNNNNNNNNNNNNNNNNNNNNNNNNNNNNNNNNNNNNNNNNNNNNNNNNNNNNNNNNNNNNNNNNNNNNNNNNNNNNNNNNNNNNNNNNNNNNNNNNNNNNNNNNNNNNNNNNNNNNNNNNNNNNNNNNNNNNNNNNNNNNNNNNNNNNNNNNNNNNNNNNNNNNNNNNNNNNNNNNNNNNNNNNNNNNNNNNNNNNNNNNNNNNNNNNNNNNNNNACUAGUUAGUUGAAUUAGUUCAAUUAAUUAGGUAUAUUUUUUGUAAGUGCUUAGUUGAAUUAGUUCAAUUAAUUAGUUGAACUAGUUGAAUUAACAGAAUUAGUUGAAUUAAUAGAACUAAUAAGUGUUUAAUGUUUCACCUAUGAACAUAGGAAUGUCGUGUGACGACGAACAUGAUUUUAUAAUGUGCGAAUACUGCGAAGACCAGCGCGGCCUGUGCGGCAGAAAUUUUCUAGUUGAUGAUAGACGCUUCAGCAUCAAGCUGGAUGAGAACUUCGAAGUGGAUACAGUAAGUCACAGCGACAAGUCUUUUUUCGUAAUUAAGCAUGACUUAUGCUUCAUUUGUUUCAACUUUUAAUUUUAAUUUUUCACUAUUCUACUAGUGUAUCCCCUGCCAUGCAAGAAUUUUUGUCUUGGAUAAGAUAGGUUUCAGUCCUAACGAAACUACGGAGGUAAAAAGAGUUUACUUGAAGACCGAGCAUGGUUAUACCUUCAACGUCAAAUUAUACAAUGCAGACACAUACACCUAUUUUGAAUGCAAAACUUGGCAAGCACUAUGCAAGGCUUAUGCAUUUGAGCCUGAUAUGGUUAUCACCUUUGAUAUUCGUCCGGAAGAUGAUAUUGAAGGUAACAGAGACAUCUGGGUCAAUGUGUAGACGCCUCCAGUUCUACCAUUAUGUGAGUUUCUCAACCAUAUUUAUGUCUUUGAUAUGAGAUUAUUUGAACCAGUUGAAUAAUUAAUAGAUCUCAAUUUAUAUUGACAGCUUACUUCCAAUCAAGCAAACAUGUCCGGCGCUUGGUAGACAGGACCGUCCACUGUCCCGGGGCUGAACUAAACUGCGAGGAGACAAGUCAUUAUGUUUCAUGGCUUGAGGAUCUUGAUGUUGUCAAGACAAAUUUCUUUCCUGCACUUAGAAAUGUUAGUACUCAAAAUGUGCGACCAAUAGUGUUCGUACUGAACUACGGUCACAUAUAUUUAGGAAAGAUGGUAAGAUUUCUACUAUUUCUCCUCAGUGCAUCUUUUGCAUACAUUGUUUUUUAAGCUAAACUUCAUUGCUAAGUAUGUUACUAUACGAUGUUCUUCAACAGGGACUCCCGAUGAAUGAUGUGCCUGAUUGGAUCGAGACUAAAGGUACCAUGAAUAUUGUUAGCUUACGGCCAAGAUAUCCUACAAUGCACUUUAGUGCAUUCGGGAUUUCUAAUAGCGAGGAAUGCUUAAUAGUAAAAGACUGGAGCAAAAUUGUGAACGAUCACAGAGAAGUACUAGGGGGCAGCAAUCAGAAGCGCAACCCACGAUUAGGAGACAGGUUCAUCUGCAUGCUCCAAUAUGAUGAAUCAGCAAAGCUAUACAUGUUCUAUGCUAUUUUACCCGAGAAAGAGCAGCAUGAGUGAUUAAUUAGCUAGUUCAUGCUCUUAGUACUUGUCCUCUCAUGUCCGUGUUCUUUGUCCUGAACUUAAUCUCAAAGAGUGAUUUGCUUUUGUGGUGUUAUGAACGCUUAUAACAUCAUUACCAUGUUGAACUCGAUGAUAUCUUUGCUAUGAAAACCGUUGGUGAUGAUAUAUAUGAUGCAAGAGUUUUUAUAUUAAUUAAUAUUAUGAUGAUGAUGAGUUAUUAUAUCAUUUAUGAAAGAAAUUGCAUAUUAGUUUCAACUGGAUGGAUUCUAGCUAAGUGAUCAAGUAUAUGCCAUAUCCAUAUUACCUUGAUCACUUAAGUAGGUGAUCAAGUAUAUAUAAUAUGGAUAUGACAUAUACUUGAUGACUUAGCUAGGAUCCACACGCAUCCAGUCAAACUAAUCACCUAAUGAUUUAACAACUCAUUAUAAUGUAAAACAAUCACUAAAUUAAAUUGAAAACACAAAAUUAAAGUAAAAAUAAAAAAUAAAACCAAAACACACCCAAACAUUUAGUACCGGUUGGUGUUACCAACCGGUACUAAUGUCCUAUGCGCCGACGGAGCUGGCUCGUGCCACGUGGUUGCCCUUUAGCACCGGUUCGUGCUGAACCGAUACUAAAGGGGGGGGGGGGCUUUAGUGCCUACAAUUUAGUGCCGGUUACCGAACCGGCACUAAAGGCCCUUACGAACCGGUGCUAUUGCCCGGUUCUGCACUAGUGAGUGGCUUGUUACUUAUUUCUUGUACGUAUGUUUGUUCUUGUAGUUUGUAUUUCCAACAUAUGCCCUUUGUGUUGGUGUUUAUAUAACCAUGGCCAGACCAUGAAGGGUCAGUCCCCCCCUUUCUAUUUUUUGAUGGAGAUAAUUAGUAUCUAAAUAAACCAUUGUAUAUCCUAUGGAUAACUUGCUAUUAAACUUUUAUUGAAUUCUAACCUUAAAAUAUAUUAGCAUUUUGAAAUGACAUACAUAGAGAACAUUAAAACGUAUCUUUCUUUUGUAGGGUACAUUAGAAUGUAUCGCGGAUCCAGCCCAGCUGGCCGCUCGGGCUUGAUGUCGCUUGAAGCUACGUCGGUAUUUCCCCAAAGAGGAAGGGAUGAUGCAGCAUAUCGGUGGUAGGUAUUUCCCUCAGAUAUGAAACCAAGGUUAUCGAACCAGUAAGAGAACCAAUCAACAUAACGUAAAUAACUCCUGCACGUAGAUAAGAAAUCCUCGCAACCCGACGUGUUAAAGGGGUUGUCAAUCCCUUCCGGGGUACGGCGCCUCAAGAUAGGUAAAUGAACGUGAGAUAAAAUUGUAGUAGAUUGAAAGAUAGAUCGUAAAUAAAAUAAAUAGAAAUAAAACACAACAAGGUAUUUUUGGUUUAAUAGAUCUGAAAAUAAAUGCAAGAAAAAAGUAGAUCGCAAAGGCAUAUAUAUGAGAAGGAAGACCCGGGGGCCGUAGGUUUCAUUAGUGGCUUCUCUCGAGAAAAAUAGCAAACGAUGGGUGAACAAAUUACUGUUGGGAAAUUGAUAGAACUUUGAAUAAUCAUGAUGAUAUCCAGGCAAUGAUCAUUAUAUAGACAUCACAUCCAAGAUUAGUAGACCGACUCCUGCCUGCAUCUACUACUAAUACUCCACACAUCGACCGCUAUCCAGCAUGCAUCUAGUGUAUUAAGUUCAUGGAGAAACGGAGUAAUGCAAUAAGAACGAUGACAUGAUGUAGACAAGAUCUAUCUAUGUGGAGAUAGACCCCAUCGUUUUAUCCUUAGUAGUAAUGAUACAUACGUGUUGUUUCCCUUUCUGUCACUAGGAUCAAGCACCGUAAGAUCGAACCCACUACAAAGCACCUCUUCCCAUUGCAAGAUAAAUAGAUCAAGUUGGCCAAACAAAACCCAAAUAUCAAAGAAGAAAUAUGAGGCUAUACGCAAUCAUGCAUAUAAGAGAUCAAAGAAACUCAAAUAACUUCCAUGGAUAUAAAAAGAUAGAUCUGAUCAUAAACUCAAAGUUCAUCGAUCCCACAAACACACCGCAAAAGAGUUACAUUAUAUGGAUCUCCAAGAGACCAUUGUAUUGAGAAUCCAGCGAGAGAGAGGAAGCUAUCUAGCUACUAAUUACGGACCUAAAGGUCUACAAAGAACUACUCACACAUCAUCGGAGAGGCACCAAUGGAGGUGGUGAACCCCAUCCGAGAUGGUGUCUAGAUUGGAUCUGGUGGUUCUGGACUCUGCGGCGGCUGGAUGAAUAUUUCGUCAACUCCCCAAGGGUUCUGGAAAUAUUGGGGUAUUUAUAGAGCAAAGAGGCGGUCCGGGGGGCACCCGAGGUGGGCACAACCCAACCCACCAGGGCGUGCCUGGGCCUCCUGGCGCGCCCUGGUGGGUUGUGCCCCCCUCGGGGCACCCCCUAGGCACAGCUAGGGCCUGUUGUAUUCCUUCUGGCCCAUAAAAAUUCUCCAUGGAGUUUCGUGGCAUUUGGACUCCAUCUGGUAUUGAUUUCCUGUGAUGUAAAAAACAUAGAAAAAACAGCAACUGGCACUUGGCACUAUGUCAAUAGGUUAGUACCAAAAAAUGAUAUAAAAUAACUAGAAAAUGAUUAUAAAAUAUCCAAGAUUGAUAAUAUAACAGCAUGAAACAAUCAAAAAUAAUAGAUACGUUGGAGACGUAUCAGCAUCCCCAAGCUUAACUCCUACUCGUCGUCGAGUAGGUAAGUGAUAAAAACAGAAUUUUGAUGUGGAAUGUUGCCUAACAUGUCAUAUCAUAUUUCUUUUCUUUAUAGCAUGGACAAUUGGACUUUUAUGUGAUUCAAAGCAAUAGUCUAGUUUUGACAUAAUAAUUUAGAUACUCGAGCAUAUCAACAAGCAACCAUGUCUUUCAAAAUAUCAACGCUAAAAUAAGUUAUCCCUAGCCCAUCAUGCUCGACCAUUGAUCCAUUCAUGAAACACACUUGAAUAUUAGCUACACCUAAUACUUAAGUACAAUCAUAUUGUCUCAUAGUUGGUGCUUUUAUAAGAGAAGGUGGAGAGUCGAAAUAAAAAUUACAUAAAGUAAAAGAAAGGACCUUCGCGGAGUGAAGUAGGGAUUUGUAGAGGUGCCAGAGCUCAAAGCGAAAAAAGUAGAGAUAAAAUAUUUUGGGAGGUGUAUCCAUCCCACCAACGAAAACGACUUAGAGUUCCCAACACUUUCCAUGCUAGAUAUAUCAUAGGCGGUUCCCAAACAGAAAAUAAAGUUUAUUCCCUUUUCCACCAUACUUUCACUUUACAUGGCUAACCGUAUCCACGGGUGCCCUCCUUACCAACGCUUUUCAAGGAAUUUAUUAUUUGACAACAUAAAGUAAAUUCAUUUUUUUUUUGCAUUUCGGGACUAGGCAUCCCUAAUACUUUUGUCUUACUCUCGUGCAAUGACAAGUGAAUAAACACUCAUUGUGAGAAUAACACAUCUAGCAUGGAAAAAAUUAGCCACCACUCACCGCUCCGCGAGCGAAACAAACACACAAAAGAGAAUUUUAUUUUAAAAAUUAGAGAUGGCACAUGCAAAUUUGCUUAGAACAACAAAAGAAUACCGCAUAUAGGUAGAUAUAGUGGACACAUGUGGCAAAACUGGUUUAAAGGAUUUUGGAUGCACAAGUAGAGAUCAUACUUGGUGCAAAAUGAAGGCUAACAAAAGAUUGAAAAGCGACCAACCAAGAAACGGAUAAUCUCAUAAGCAAGCAUUAAGCAUAAAUAACAGCGAACAAUGCACCACAAGUAGGAUAUAAUUUCAUUGUAUGACUAUUGACUUUCGUACUUGCAUAGGGAAUCACAAACCUUAACACCAAUAUUCUUACUAAAGCAUAAUUACUCAUCAACAUAACUCACAUAUCACAUCAUCAUAUCUCAAAACUAUUACUAAGAGUCUAGUUUAUUUUGUCCAAUGAUCUUCAUGGAAGUUUUUAUUAUAUCCUUCUUGAAGGGUGUGCACACUCAAAAAUAUCUCCAUAAUCCAAAUGUCAUAGUAUGAUAUUUGGCAAAAGCAUAACAUAAGUAGGUCAAUCAAGUCUCACAACAAAGCGGCGGCGACGGCGCAGGGGAGGGGAGCGACGCCGCGAUGGCGAGCACCUAUUGGGCCCUUGAGCGGAGGGGGCGGCGGCGACGAGAGGAAGGGAGUGGCGGCGAGGUGAGGGGAGGGUCUAGUUGAAAGGUGGACGGCCGAUUAAGGUCAUCCUCUCUUACAUAGUGUGAUGAAAUAGACAGUGCGGGAUAUUGGGUUUUUAGGACUGUAGGUUUAUUGGACGAAAUAGUCAAAUUACAAAUUCUGUGUGAGCCACGACUCACCGGUCCGCCAAUGGUACUAACCCCGCGAUGUGCCCACAUAUUUUUUUUUCAAGAAUGAGGUGAACUCACAUAUCAUAAUCCUUGUGUGUCGCAUGGUCCAAUAAGUCAUACAGUGAAUCGUGCUGAAUUGGGAUCGAACAAGCAACACCGUCCUAGUUGGCGGUCGGCUUAUCACUAGACUAUAAGUAGAGUGUUGUGAACAUUUUGGGACGGAAACUCUUUAUAUGUUUUCUAAACUAAAUUUUUCCACAAAUUCAACUUUUAAUUUUAAAAAGUUUGAAAAUCCGGAAUUUUUACAUUUUUAAAGAACAAAAAUCCCUUCUUCAAAGGGAAUUUUUUUCUACCUUUCCAUCUGCAUUUUUUAUUUAUAGGUACCAUGCCACUUUUAUUAUAGGUCACAUGGCAGUUUUUUUAUUAAUACGAUAUUUGCAAUUUAAUAAGUAAUAGGAUGCCAUUUUUUAUCAUUAAGAGCAUGGCAUUUUAUUAAUAGUACCAUGGCAUUUUUAUUAUUAGAAAGAUAGCAUUUUUAUUAUUAAUUAGAUGUUAGUUUUAUUAUUGGGGACAUGGGAUUUUCAUUAUUUGUUGACAUGUUAUUUUUAUUAUCAGGAGGAUGGCAGUUUAAUUAUUAACAUGAUGAAAGUUUUUAUUAUAUAGAGAAUGUCAUUUUUUCAUUAUUGACAUGACAUUUUUAUUAUUAGGAGGAUUACAAUUUUAUUAUAUAGAGCAUGGCAUUUUAUUAUUAUUAUUGACAUGUCAUUUCUAUUGUUAGAAGGAUGACAUUUUUUGGACUAGCAUUUUUUAUUAAUUGUUACGAGAAUGAUAGUUUUAUUAUUAGGAGGAUGGUAGUUUUUAUUUUGAAUUGCAUGGCAUUUUUGUCAUUGAUAUGACAGAUUUUUAAUAUUUUUUUGCACAGUGGAACAAAUCAAGCAAAAAAAUUACAUCGUAGCAAUUUUUUGGUCCUUGACAAAGAUAAAGGAAACCACGCGCUCCCAAACAUGUUAUUUUUUACUGCGGAACAUCUAUAGGGUGGAAUUCAUAACAUUUGUAAAAUUAUAGAUUAUCAUGGCAUUUUUUGUAAAGUAACAUGACAUUUUUCGUAUUAUUCAUAUCAUGGCAAUUAUAUAUUUACGUGUACUCCAUUUUCAUAAGAAAAAUAUGUUCUUCCAUUAAAAAAUGUAAUCCGGGCAUUUUGGGCCAAUGGAGGUUCACCUUGGCCUUUCCCUGGAAACGAUCGAGGGGAGGGUGUUACGUUCGCUGGGACUGCCCCCUUGGUGACCACUUUGUUCGAUCAACUCUCUUCCCUGGCGAUCGAACACCAGUUAUUCAGGUCCUUUAUUAGUUUAUUUAUAGGUAGUGUAGGGAAGAGAACAAUGGCACAUGGAAACUAUAGGCCAAACGUUCGCUUUUUGGUAUUAACAAGCGAAAACUCGCAAGCCGGCAAAUAGGGGAAGGACGAAGAGAAAGAAGUAGGAAGGGAGAGGUGGACUAAAGGUGUACAGCCCAGAGCUACCCGGUCAUUUUUUUGCGAAUUGCUUGGUAAAAAAAUAGCGUUGAAUAGUUGCCUAGGUGUGUGUUUGGAUUAAGUUUUUGUAGAACUUGGGUUGGAUUAUUUGAUCACUACCACAAAGAAAAUAUUAUUUGGUCGCUAGGAAUGAAUCAUUUAUUACAAACUACAUGUUUUUUGAGCUAACUAGGGAAACCGACAUAUAGGCCAUAUGUUUAGGACGUUGGCAUGGGGAGUUCUUAUUAGACGCAUUCUGCGUCAAACAGCCGCGCGACGCAUGCACGGAACCCCCGGCAGGGCUGGCUCAAUAACGGGCGCGCUGCGAUGUUAAUGUUAAAAAAAUAGCAAGCAUGCACGCUGUCCUGCCAAGAUUCGACCUCUGGACCUCCAUAUUGCGUACGAGAGAAGCUAACCGCCAGACAUAACAAGCUCCCCUAAAAAAAAGACAUAACAAUUGUUGGUGCUAAAUGUAAAGCGUGCUAGUAUAAGUACUAAUACCAAUGAAGAAUCUGGACAGUUUUUUGAAUUUUGUCAACCUUUCCUUCGAAAUUGUUAUUUUUUUAACAAACGAGCAAAGUUUCAAAAUACGAUAUUUUUUUCACAACUCAGACCUGUUUUCAAAUUUCAAAAAAUAAAACAAAAGACGUGAACAUUUGUCAACAGAUUUAUUUUUAUAUUCCCGAACAUUUGCCGAAAACCCGUACAUUUAUAGAAUUUUGAGAACAAAAUUUGAUAAUGGGAACAAUUUUCAAAAGCACAAACUGUUUCUGGGAAAAAAGGAACAAAAUUGAAAGCAAGAACAUUAUAUGAAAUUGCGAACAAUAUUUGAAAAAAUGUGAACACUUUAAAAUUUGCGAACAUUUUUUUAAAUAGAACAUUUUAGGAAUCUAAAAAAAGGAAAAAUAAACAGAAAAUGAAAACAUUUUAAAUUUUUUUGAACAUGCGAUCAUUUUUGAAAAACUAAAACAUAAUCUAAAACCAUUUUUUCAAAAAAUACGUCACUUUUCAAAUCGCAAACAUUUUAGGAAAUUUGGAAAAUAUUUUUGUUAUUUGUGAAUAGAUAUUGGAAAUAGAAUACUUUUUGAAUUUGUGAGCAAAAUUUGAAAACAUCAACAUUUUCUGAAAACACGAACAUUUUUUUGGAACCUCAAACAUUUUUGAAAAAAGGGGGGAAAAUGAAAACAAGAACAUUUUUCAAAACUGGGAACAAUUUUUUGAAAAUGCGAACUUUUUAGAAAACAGGAACAAAACUAAAACCACAAAAAAUUUCUGAAUUUAUGAAGAAAUGUAGAAAACAAGAUUUUUUUUUGAAUUUGCGAACAAAUUUGAAAAAGGGAACAUUUUUCAAAAUUCUAGAAAAACUUACAUGUUUCUGAAAAAAAUAAAAAUCCGUACAUUUAUUCGAACAUUUAUCUAAUGCCUGAACCUUUGUUCAAAAAGAAAAAUAAACUUGAAAAAUAAAAAGAAAAUAAAAUAGUGAACGAAGAGAAAAGAAAAAGAAAUAAGAGAUAAAAGAAGAAAAACAACAAAGAAAAACGAAAAAAUGAAAAAAAACAGAAAAAAAAAAAACGGUUCAGGAACCUGCUGGAAGGUUCCCAAAAUCAAAAAGAAUCGGCUGUUACAUCCUCGAAGUCUCCGAAAACCAGGAAUCCUGAAAACCCUUAACGGCCGGCCCACCUGGAAUGAUCGCUCGAUCGCCUGUGCGUUUUCCCGACAUUUUGCCGCAGCGAGCGGCAUAUAGGGUUUUCCAUUGGCAUGGUCGUGAACUCUCUUGUUCAACCAAAACUAGUAUUCAAAUAAAUUGAGCCCAUAAUGUGAGAGUCGGUAGUCCCGGUAUAUAUAGCCCAUUAAAAAAGUACAAUACAACAUCCGAUUCAGGCACUGAUUUUUAAUACAGCAUCCUCUCCCUUUCUGUAUUGCCUGAACCUCCUCGUAGCAUCCUCCACCUGAUGGUAGUACAAUCAGUAGGUAAAUCAUAGUAAUCUCAACGUCAUAGUUUUUCUUCUUCAGUUGAUACACUUUUGAAGCAUCUGAAUUGGUCUUUUCUGUUUGCUGCUUCGUCGGUAUACAGUAGCAUGUUCAACAGUUGUCGGCAGUAGUCGAUCUAUAUUGCUAUGUAAACUGGACUUUGUCUGCAUAAAGAAAUCCUACUUGAGGGCAGAAGACUAGAUUCUCCAAAAGAAACAAUAUCGGAUGAGUUCCCAGAUUAUAAACUAUGGGAUGAGUUCCCAAAAGAAAAUCCUACUUGUAUGUCCAUUCUAAUUUGUUUCCUUCAUGUCUACCUACAGGAUUUCUUAUUUUGAUUUGAGGCAACCGCGUGUUUUUAUUUUGGGUAAUACUCCCUCCUUCCCACAUUAUAAGAUGUUUUGGCAAGUUAAAUGGUAUGCCAAAACGUCUUAUGUGACGAAGGGAGUACACGAUUAAAUCCGAAGCUAGUGGGAGCUUGAAUUUCAUUCAUUACUGGCUUUGUGCCGAUAUUUUGCUUGGACUACUAUUUUCUACAUAUCUGAAUUUUAUAUACUUCCGGGAGUUGUCUAGUUAUGUAUCCCAAACCUUGUCUUUGCAACUUGAAGUAUUUACCAAACACUAUAGUUAAUUAAGUAAAUGAUGUAUCAAGCAUAUCAUAUUUCUGAUUCAUUGCUUCUGGUGCUCUAGUUGUUUUAUUGAUGGUUGGUGAUGCAUCUAGCUAGAUAGCUGGUUGCAGUCAGGUAAUUCCUGACCAUGUGAAAGCCCACAACUGCGUGAUGAAGUUUCUAUGGUGUUUAUGGUUCUGAAAAUAAUUGUUACACAAAUAAUUCUUUCAAUUCUUGAAAGUUCAUGCUCUUAUCAAAAGUCUUCGCGAGAUGAACUUCUGCCCAUGUGCACAUAAACUAGAGGUCUGUUUGGAUGACGCCGAAGACAGCCCCGCCAAAAUUUUGGUGGGGUAGCUAUGGGCUACAAUCCAAACAGACAGUUUUUGUAAGAUUACUAAUAUUCUGUCAAUCCAUCGUUUAUGCUUUUUAUCUUACGGGUUAGGUUUUGGAAGCUACACUCCCCAACCGCAUGAUUUGUGCUUUUUAUCCUACAUGUUUAUGUAUUUCGAUAAAAAUAUAUUACUGAUACAUCUUCAACGUAUGUAUAAUUUUUGAUUGCUCCAUGCUAUAUUAUCUACUGUUUUGGACAUUAUUGGGCUUUAUUUUCAGCUUUUAUAUUAUUUUUGGGACUAACCUAUUAACUGGAGGCCCAGUCCAGAAUUGCUGUUUUUUGCCUGUUUUAGGGUUUCGAAGAAAAGGAAUAUCAAACGGAGUCCAAACGGAAUGAAACCUUCGGGAACGUGAUUUUCUCAACGAACAAGACCCGGGAGACUUGGACCCUACGUCAAGACACAAAAGAGGAAGCCACGAGGUAGGGGGCGCGCCUACUCCCCCAGGCGCGCCCUCCAUACUCGUGGGCCCCCUGUUGCUCCCCCGACGUACUCCUUCCUCCUAUAUAUACCUACAUACCCCCAAACGAUCAGAUACGGAGCCAAAAACCUAAUUCCACUGCCGCAACUUUCUGUAUCCACAAGAUCCCAUCUUGAGGCCUGUUCCGAAGCUCCGCCGGAGGGGGCAUCGAUCACGGAGGGCUUCUACAUCAACUCCAUAGCCCCUCCGAUGAAGUGUGAGUAGUUUACCUCAAACCUACGGGUCCAUAGUUAUUAGCUAGAUGGCUUCUUCUCUCUUUUUGGAUCUCAAUACAAUGUUCUCCCCCUCUCUUGUGAAGAAAUAUUCGAUGUAAUCUUCUUUUUGCGGUGUGUUUGUUGAGAACGAUGAAUUGUGGGUUUAUGAUCAAGUCUAUCUAUGAACAAUAUUUGAAACUUCUCUGAAUUCUUUUAUGUAUGAUUGGUUAUCUUUGCAAGUCUCUUCGAAUUAUCAGUUUGGUUUGGCCUACUAGAUUGAUCUUUCUUGCAAUGGGAGAAGUGCUUAGCUUUGGAUUCAAUCUUGCGGUGUCCUUUCCCAGUGACAGUAGGGGCAGCAAGGCACGUAUUGUAUUGUUGCCAUCGAGGAUAACAAGAUGGGGUUUUCAUCAUAUUGCAUGAGUUUAUCCCUCUACAUCAUGUCAUCUUGCUUAAGGCGUUACUCUAUUUUUAACUUAAUACUCUAGAUGCAUGCUGGAUAGCGGUCGAUGAGUGGAGUAAUAGUAGUAGAUGCAGGCAGGAGUCGGUUUACUUGUCUCGGACGUGAUGCCUAUAUACAUGAUCAUACCUAGAUAUUCUCAUAACUAUGCUCAAUUCUGUCAAUUGCUCAACAGUAAUUUGUUCACCCACCGUAGAAUACUUAUGCUCUCGAGAGAAGCCACUAGUGAAACCUAUGGUCCCCGGGUCUAUCUUUAUCAUAUUAAUCUCCUACUACUUAGUUAUUUUCUUUGCUUUUUACUUUGCCUUUAUUUUACUUUGCAUCUUUAUCACAAAAAUACCAAAAAUAUUAUCUUAUCAUAUCUAUCAGAUCUCACUCUCGUAAGUGGCCGUGUAGGGAUUGACAACCCCUAUUCGUGUUGGUUGCGAGGAUUUAUUUGUUUUGUGCAGGUACGAGGGACUCGCGCGUAGCCUCCUACUGGAUUGAUACCUUGGUUCUCAAAAACUGAGGAAAAUACUUUCGCUACUUUGCUGCAUCAUCCCUUCCUCUUCGGGGAAAACCAACACAGUGCUCAAGAGGUAGCAAUUACUCUCUCCGAUCCAAAUUAGUUAUCGCUCUAAUGGAUGUAUUUAGCAUUGAAAUACAUCUCGAUAUAUCCAUUUCGGUGACAAGUAAUAUGGAUUGGAGGGAGCACUCAACCAUUUUAUUUCUUCGUUCCAUAGUCAUCUGCCUCUAUUUAGCCUCUGACCCGAUCCUUGCAAGUUAUAUCUUGUUUAAGUUCGUCAUGGUGGCACGGCUCUGCUUGCUUCGUUAAUUCUAUUAUGUCUCCGUUAAUCCCCAUAUCAAACUUUAAGGCUGACAAUAACUUUGUGACAUUGUUCUUUUUAUUGUAACUAUGGCAGAGAUGGAUAAUAGUGGCUUAGUUAUGUGUUCACUGUGUGCCUUUGUCUCUUAGCACCUACAGUGUUGGAUGACACUUUUGCAUUGAACAAUUCAGUAAACCCAACAGUAUAACCACCGCACAUGCCUUCAACAAGACAUGAAAACAUCCUCGGCAACAAUAUGAAGUGUACUACAACCAAAGCCGCUAGGACAUAAAAACUAGAGUGCGCCAUAACUGAGCCACGAAUAUCAUACAGUACAAUGUUUGCACAAUAUCAUAUGGUCUGUCACCAAAGAUAGCAAGAACAAAUUGCAGUAUUUUGAAGAAUUGUUCACAAUCAAGUUGAUCAAUACUUUAUCACUGUUUUGAGCACAUAGACAUUGAACCUGCCUUAAGAAAAAGGGUUUUCCCCCGCUUUAGAUUAUAAAGCAACAUCCAACCAAUACAACCAGUUUGCUGGGGCCGGAGCACAAACAAGCCCAAAAGAAAAAGGAGAGAAAGAAAAAAGAAACAAAUGCUGACGCCGGCAGCUCAACUAAGCAAAGAUUAUAGAACACUUUAUCCAUCAUUCGUUCGACGUUCAAUUAUGCUUUUUUUUAAUAAUACAAUUUUUUUUAUUAAUUUGCAAAAAUAUUACGCUUAAAAAAAGAAUUUUAGAAAUAAUAAACCAUCGGCCCGCUGCGGACCGACUGGGCCUAGUCAGCCCACAAUAGGCCGACUGGGUGCACUCGGCCAGUAGCAGGCCGACAGCUGGCCAGCCUGCGACGUGUCGCGCGCGGAUUGGGCAGGCCACGUCGCGAGGGGGGAGAGAGGGAGCUGUCGGCGCGGCGGUCACAGGGGAGCCCCUUUCAACUUAUCGCGGGCCGAUCGGCCAGCUGCGGGCCGAUCGGCCAGCUGCGGGCCGACAGGGUGUGGACCCAUCUCACGCGGCAUGGCCGGCUCCCUGCGUCUUCUUCCUCCUCCCACGCGAGUGUUCUUCUUCUGUUCUUUCCUUCUCCUCUCUGUACACCAAAAUGCCCCCAAUUUCUACACCUAAAUGAACCAUUUAUUUGUGGAUUUGGCACCGUGAAUGGAUUCUACUUAGUUAGGGCAACCAAAAGAGACCUCGAUCUACUGAUGGGGUAGCUCGUGGCGGUCGUGGUGAGCAUUUAGGUGGAGCUUUUUUCCAGCUCAUUGGUGGAGCUUGUUGCGGCGGUGGAGGUGGAGGUGGUGGUGGAGAAGUUGGGGCAGUGUGGUGGAGGCGGUGGAGGUGAAGCUCCGGCAGUUUGGUGGAGUUUCCCGCUCUGAUUCCGGUGAUUGAAGGCCGCCGUUCGUCAUUCGCACACACGCUUCAAGGGUAUAUUUCAACCAACAUUUUAUUUUUCAUAGGUGCUCCGGUAGUAUUUGUUAAUAUGUUUCGAUGUGAAAUAAAUUAGGUGUGUGAUUAUUGUUAGUUGCUCCGGUAGUAUACGUAAAUAUAUUUAGAUGUUAACUAAUUAGUUGUGUAAAAAUUUGUAGUUGCUCCGGUAGUAUUAGUUGCUCCGUUAAUAUUCUGUAAUAUAUAGCUAGCUAAUAUAUAGACAUGUCUAAUAUUUGUUAGUGGGGGUAUAUUAAGUUGUUGCUUAAUACUUGUAUUUCGUUGUUGAAAAAAAAUAGGUGAGCCGAGAUGUCCGAUGUAGUGAACUUCAGAUUUUGCUAUGGUCCUGGUACUGUCCAAACAACUGAGAUGGGAGCAGAUCUGAGUGAAUUUACUCAUAUAGAUGUGCCAAACAUGGUCUGUCAGUCAGUUGAAAGAAUGGAUUGCGGCAAGUUUAGGUCUUGAUACUGAAACACACACCGUCGGUGUUCAUGCAUUGUGGACACGGUCAAGUUCAAUAAUUUACUUUUAUUUGAGGCCGAUAGAGCGAGACUCCGAAUGGGUGCGGUGGUUACAAGGUUGUGAACAAAGGGGAUGCAAUCCUGUUGCUUUAGUGCUUCCCGUCGUGAAGGAGGUCACUGCACAUGAAGGCGAGGGUGGCUACGAUCCUGGUCAUAGCAGUGUAGGGAGGCAGUUAUCUAUGUCAAAUGCUGAAGAUGAUGGUUAUGAACAAGGACAGAGAAGUCAGGUAGAAGGAGGAAAUGCUUAUGGUUAUGAACCAGGGCAGAGUAGUCAGGUAGAAGGAGGAGAUGCCGAUGGUGAUUACAAUGGCGAGGUGGACGCUGACGAGGUAGAUGGGCACAUGCAGGACCAGAUGGAAGAAGAAGACAUCGAUGUUGAAAGGGGUCAUGCCGAUGAUUCUGACGAGUCAGAUGAAGAAGAAAAUGCAGAGGAGGUCCCGAAUCCUGCAUCGUGGAAUCAUGACUUCUCAUCUGCAAUGACCGUGAAUGAUGGACAUGAUUCAACCUGACAAUAUCACCAGAACAAUAUUGCGACGGGUGCUAUGUAUCCGAACAAGCAAGCCCUGAAAGAUGCAAUAAUUAACUGGGCAAUGUCCACGCAAAGGGUUUUUACAGCUCAGGUGUCCAGUCAGAAAUUCCUGACAAUGGUAUGCAAGAACGCAGAUUGUCCCGCCAAGGUGCACGGCUUUCUCCCUAAGUAUGGCACAAGUUGGGUGAUAAGUGACUUAGUUAAUCAUAGUUGUCUUAUUCCCUGCAUCCCUCAGGAUCAUGCCAACCUUUCAUCGACGCUUAUUGCUCGGUUGUUUUACGAUGAGAUAGUGCAGGCCAAAGCUAUGGAAGUGAAGGCAGUCCAGACAAAAGUCUUCGCCAGGUUCAAGUCCAUAACUUCUUAUGGAAAGGCUUGGAGGGCUAAGCAUGCGGCGCUUGAGAGGAGAUUUGGUUCUUAUUUUGAUGCAUAUGACUCUGUUGUCCAGCUCCUCCACACCCUGCAGCAGCGGAAUCCAGGCACCUAUAUCGAUAUCCAAGACAUGUUCAUGCCAGAGUUCCCAACUGUGAGGGUGUUGCAUCGUCUCUUCUUCUCUUUCGGUGUAUGCAUCGAAGCUUUCAGGCAUUGCCAACCGGUGAUAUGUGUUGACGGUACUUUUCUCACAGGCAAGUACAAGGGUCAGAUCCUGACAGCCAUUGGUCAAGACGGCCAAAAUCAAGUCGUCCCACUCGCAUUUGCUUUUGUGGAGAGUGAGAACAUUGAAAGUUGGACAUGGUUCUUCAGGCAGUUGAAAAUAUCAGUUGUGAAGGAGAAGCCCAAUGUGUGCAUCCUUCAUGACAGGCAUGCAGGUAUACUCAGUGCGAUAAGGACACUGACAAACCCAGGCCCUGAGGAACAAGUUCCAUGGCAGGACUUGCAGAGCCAUUGGUGCAUGCGCCUUCUGGGGGCUAAUUUCUUCUCGCAGUUUAGAAAUAAGAACCUGAUGAAUCUGUUCAAAAAACUCUGCAAGCAGAACCAGUUAUAGAAGUACAAUUUGAUACGCGACAGACUUAAUGUGUGCACGCAGAGACACGUGAGGGACAGGAAAGUUGCAAGAGAUGCAGCGGUGAGGGCACAUGUUGAAGCAGUAGCUGCACAGUUGGCAACAAGAACAACGGCCGUGGAGGAGGAGCCUGUUGGGCUAUGUGACCUGCCAGGCUUUGACCCACCUGGUACUAGGAGAAGGCUUGGUAGGUCGAUUAAAACCUUCGAGCAGUGGAUAGAGCAUGAGCCUCUGGAGAGAUGGUCUUUGCUACAUGACACACAUGGAACAAGGUACGGUGUCAUGACAACGAACCUCGCGGAAACAUACAACUUUGUUCGCAGAGGAAACCGGGCAUUGCCACUUACAGCCAUCGUUGAGGCUAUUUUCUAUGGCACCGUCAAGUAUUUCAGAGAUAGACGUCAAAAAGCAGAGCAACAUAUCUUCAACAACCCGAAUACACGGUACUGUGAAAGAGUCACGAAGUACAUGGACAACAAGAUGCAAAAAGCUAGGUCACACACUGUAGUCGCCAUCGGUAAUCAAGAAAGAAGGUUUGAGGUCCGCUUAGCCAACAACAAAUUUGGAUGUGCAAAUGAGUUGAGGACGCGUGAGGUGAAAAUUGGUAAUGAAGCCUGGCCAACGUGUGAGUGCACAUGCAACAAACCGAAAUUGCUUCACCUACCUUGCUCACAUGUACUUGCUGCUUGCGGGCAGCUUGGAAUGGACGCAAUAUCGUUUGUGUCUCCAUUUUUUCUGAAAGAGUCUGUCCUCAAUACCUGGACAGGUGAGCUGAUGGGUUUUCGAUCAAUGGGUAAUUUCAACAGCGUCAACCCCGCUGAAAGGCAUUACAUUCCAAACCCAGAGCAUAUGUGUACAAGUAGAGGCACACGACAGUGUCAGCGCAUCCGGAAUGAUAUGGAUGAAUCUGAAGCAGGAGGUCCGACUAGGCAAUGCAUUCUAUGCAAUGAAUUUGGCCAUAGGGACACUAAUUGUCCCACUUUCGUCACUGGGCGUGGACGAGGCAACCGGGGAAGAAGAGGAGGUAGAGGCAGUAGAGGAGUAAGGGCGAGAGGAAGAAGCUAAGCUAGCAGUAGUAUGUUCUGAAUUUGUAUUAAGUGUGGCACUAUGUUCUGAAUUUGUAUUAAGUGUGGCACUAUGUUCUGAAUUUGUAUUAAGUGUGGCACUAUGUUCUGAAUUUUUAUUAAGUGUGGCACCAUGUUCUGAAUUUUUAUUAAGUGUGACACUAUGUUAUGAAUUUGUAUUUAGUGUGGCGCUAUGUUCUGAAUUUUUAUUAAGUGUAGCACUAUGUUCUGAUUUUUUUAUGUGCAGGAAUGUCAGGAAUGUGUUGCUGAAUGGGGACAUUGAUAGGGGUCAUCGUGGUGCGAUAUGGUAUGAGCGCAAGCUUGAGCCUCUGGUCACUCGCACUCCUAAGGAAAACUGGAUGAUACACCCAGGAUGGCUUCAGCGGUACGUGCUUUAUUAAUUUGCACACUGACUGUUGGGUUUCGUAGUAAUUUCAAAAAAUUUCCUACGCACACGCAAGAUCAUGUGAUGCAUAGCAACGAGGGGGAGAGUAUUGUCUACGUACCCAACACAGACCGACUGCGGAAGCGAUGACACGACGUAGAGGAAGUAGUCGUACGUCUUCACGAUCCAACCGAUCAAGCACCGAAACUACGGCACCUCCGAGUUCGAGCACACGUUCAGCUCGAUGACGAUCCCCGGACUCCGAUCCAGCAAAGUGUCGGGGAAGAGUUCCGUCAGCACGACGGCGUGGUGACGAUCUUGAUGAACUACAGCAGCAGGGCUUCGCCUAAACUCCGCUACAGUAUUAUCGAGGAAUAUGGUGGCAGGGGGCACCGCACACGGCUAAGGAACAGAUCACGUGGAUCAACUUGUGUCAACUUGUGUGUUAUGGGGUGCCCCUGCCUCAGUAUAUAAAGGAGCCAAAGGGGGGAGGAGGCGCCGGCCAGGAGGAGGUGGCGCAGGAGGAGUCCUACUCCUACCGGGAGUAGGACUCCCCUCCAAUCCUAUUCCAACUAGGAAUCCCCAAAGGGGGAAAGAGGAGAAGGGUGGCCGGCCACCUCUCCUAGUCCUAAUAGGAGUAGGGGAAGGGGGGAGGCACGCAGCCCUGGUGGGCAGCCCUUUCACCUUUCCACUAAGGCCCAUGAAGGCCCAUAUGGCUCCCGGGGGGUUCCGGUAACCUCCCGGUAACCCGGUAAAAUCCCGAUUUCACCCGGAACACUUCCGAUGUCCAAACAUAGGCUUCCAAUAUAUCAAUCUUUAUGUCUCGACCAUUUCGAGACUCCUCGUCAUGUCCGUGAUCACAUCCGGGACUCCGAACAACCUUCGGUACAUCAAAAUGCAUAAACUCAUAAUAUAACUGUCAUCGUAACCUUAAGUGUGCGGACCCUACGGGUUCGAGAACAAUGUAGACAUGACCGAGACACGUCUCUGGUCAAUAACCAAUAGCGGGACCUGGAUGCCCAUAUUGGCUCCUACAUAUUCUACGAAGAUCUUUAUCGGUCAGACCGCAUAACAACAUAUGUUGUUCCCUUUGUCAUCGGUAUGUUACUUGCCCGAGAUUCGAUCAUCGGUAUCCAAUACCUAGUUCAAUCUCGUUACUGGCAAGUCUCUUUACUCGUUCCGUAAUACAUCAUCUCACAACUAACAUAUUAGUUGUAAUGCUUGCAAGGCUUAUGUGAUGUGUGUUACCGAGAGGGCCCAGAGAUACCUCUCCGACAAUCGGAGUGACAAAUCCUAAUCUCGAAAUACGCCAACCCAACAUCGACCAUUGGAGACACCUGUAGUACUCCUUUAUAAUCACCCAGUUACGUUGUGACGUUUGGUAGUACCCAAAGUGUUCCUCCGGUAAACGGGAGUUGCAUAAUCUCAUAGUCAUAGGAACAUGUAUAAGUCAUGAAGAAAGCAAUAGCAACAUACUAAACGAUCAGGUGCUAAGCUAAUGGAAUGGGUCAUGUCAAUCAGAUCAUGCAACUAAUGAUGUGACCUCGUUAAUCAAAUAACAACUCACUGUUCAUGGUCAGGAAACAUAACCAUCUUUGAUUAACGAGCUAGUCAAGUAGAGGCAUACUAGUGACACUCUGUUUGUCUAUGUAUUCACACAUGUAUUAUGUUUCCGGUUAAUACAAUUCUAGCAUGAAUAAUAAACAUUUAUCAUGAUAUAAGGAAAUAAAUAAUAACUUUAUUAUUGCCUCUAGGGCAUAUUUCCUUUAGUCUCCCACUUGCACUAGAGUCAAUAAUCUAGUUCACAUCGCCAUGUGAUUUAACAGCAAUAGUUCACAUCACCAUGUGAUUAACACCCAUAGUUCACAUCGCUAUGUGACCAACACCCAAAGGGUUUACUAGAUUCAGUAAUCUAGUUCACAUCGCUAUGUGAUUAACACCCAAGGAGUACUAAGGUGUGAUCAUGUUUUGCUUGUGAGAGAAUCUUAGUCAACGGGUCUGCCACAUUCAGAUCCUCAUGUAUUUUGCAUAUUUCUAUGUCAACAAUGCUCUGCAUGGAGCUACUCUAGCUAAUUGCUCCCACUUUCAAUAUGUAUCUAGAUCGAGACUUAGAGUCAUCUAGAUUAGUGUUAAACUUGCAUCGGCGUAACCCUUUACGACGAACCUUUAUCCAUAAUCGAGAAACAUAUCCUUAUUCCACUAAGGACAAUUUUGACCGCUCUCCAGUGAUCUACUCCUAGAUCACUAUUGUACUCCCUUGCCAAACUCAGUGGUAUGGCAUACAAUAGAUCUGGUAUACAGCAUGGCAUACUUUAUAGAACCUAUGAUUGAGGCAUAGGGAAUGACUUUCAUUCUCUUUCUAUUUUCUGCCGUGGUCGGGCUUUGAGUCUUACUCAACUUCACACCUUGCAACACAGGCAAGAACUCCUUCUUUGACUAUUCCAUUUUGAACUAUUUCAAAAAUUUAUCAAGGUAUGUAUUCAAUCAAGCGUCUUCAUCUAUCUAUAUAGAUCUUGAUGCUCAAUGUGUAAGCAGCUUCACCAAGGUCUUUCUUUGAAAAACUUUUAUUCAAGUAUCCUUUCAUGCUUUGCAGAAUAAUUCUACAUUAUUUCCGAUCAACAAUAUGUCAUUCACAUAUACUUAUCAGAAAUGUUGUAGUGCUCUCACUCACUUUCUUGUAAAUACAGGCUUCACCGUAAGUCUGUACAAAAAAUAUAUGCUUUGAUCAACUUAUCAAAGCGUAUAUUCCAACUCCGAGAUUCUUGCACCAGUCCAUAAAUGGAUCGCUAGAGCUUGCACACUUUGUUAGCUCCCUUUGGAUCGACAAAACCUUCCGGUUGCAUCAUAUACAACUCUUCUUCCAGAAAUCCAUUCAGGAAUGCAGUUUUGACAUCCAUCUGCCAAAUUUCAUAAUCAUAAAAUGCGGCAAUUGCUAACAUGAUUCAGACAGAUUUUUAAGUAUCGAUACGAGUAAGAAAAUCUCAUCGUAUUCAACACCUUGAACUUUGUCAAAAACCUUUUUCGACAAGUCUAGCUUUGUAGAUAGUAACACUACUAUCAACGUCCGUCUUCCUCUUGAAGAUCCAUUUAUUCUUAAUGACUCACCGAUCAUCGGGCAAGUCAAUCAAAGUCUACACUUUGUUCUCAUACAUGGAUCAUAUCUCAGAUUUCAUGGCCUCAAGCCAUUUCAUGGAAUCUGGGCUCAUCAUUGCUUCCUCAUAGUUCGUAGGUUCAUCAUGGUCUAGUAACAUGACUUCCAGAACAUGAUUAUCGUACCACUCUGGUGCGGAUCUUACUCUGGAAGACCUACGAGGUUUGGUAGUAACUUGAUCUGAAGUUUGAUGAUCAUCAUCAUUAACUUCCUCACUUAUUGGUGUAGGAAUCACUGGAACUGAUUUCUGUGAUGAACUACUUUCCAAUAAGGGAGAAGGUAUAAUUACCUCAUCAAGUUCUACUCUCCUCCCACUCACUUAUUUCGAGAGAAACUCCUUCUCUGGAAAGGAUCCAUUUUAGCAACGAAUGUCUUGCCUUCGGAUCUGUGAUAGAAGGUGUACCCAACAAUUUCCUUUGGGUAUUCUAUGAAGACGCACUUCUCCGAUUUAGGUUCGAGCUUAUCAGGAUGAAACUUUUUCACAUAAGCAUCGCAGCCCCAAACUUUAAGAAACAACAGCUUAGGUUUACUGCUAAACCAUAGUUCAUACAGUGUCGUCUCAACGGAUUUAGAUGGUGCCCUAUUUUAAAACGUGAAUGCAGCUGUCUCUAAUGCAUAACCCCAAAACGAUAGUGGUAAAGAGAUAUCAUAGAUCGCACCAUAUCAAAUAAAGUGCGGUUACGACAUUCGGACACACCAUAACGAUGUGGUGUUCCAGGUGGCGUGAGCUGUGAAACUAUUCCACAUUGUUUUAAUUGAAGACCAAACUCGUAACUCAAAUAUUUGUCUCCGCGAUCAGAUCGCAGAAACUUUAUUUUCUUGUUACGAUGAUUUUUCCACUUCACUCUGAAAUUCUUUGAACCUUUCAACUAUUUCAGACUUAUGUUUCAUCAAGUAGAUAUACCCAUAUCUGCUCAAAUCAUCUUGUGAAGGUCAGAAAACAACGAUGCUUGCCACGAUCAUCAGCACUCAUUGGAUCGCAUACAUCGGUAUGUAUUAUUUCCAAUAAGUCAGUAGCUCGUUCCAUUGUUCCGGAGAACGGAGUUUUAGUCAUCUUGCCCAAAAGGCACAGUUCGCAAGCAUCAAGUGAUUCAUAAUCAAGUGAUUCCAAAAUUCCAUCAGUAUGGAGUUUCUUCAUGCGUUUUACACCAAUAUGACCUAAACGGCAGUGCUACAAACAAGUUGCACUUAUCAUUAUUAACUUUGCAUCUUUUGGUUUCAAUAUUAUGAUUAUGUGUAUCACUACGAUCGAGAUCCAACAAACUAUUUUCAUUGGGUGUGUAACCAUAUAAGGUUCUAUUCAUGUAAACAGAACAACAAUUUAUUCUCUUACUUAAAUGAAUAAUCGUAUUACAAUAAACAUGAUCAAAUCAUAUUCAUGCUCAACGCAAACACCAAAUAACACUUAUUUAGGUUCAACACUAAUCCCGAAAGUAUAGGGAGUGUGUGACGAUGAUCAUAUCAAUCUUGGAACCACUUCCAACACACAUCGUCACUUUACCCUUAACUAGUCUCUGUUUAUUCUGCAACUCCCGUUUCGAGUUACUAAUCUUAGCAACUGAACUAGUAUCAAAUACUGAGGGUUUGCGAUAAACACUAGUAAAGUACACAUCAAUAACAUGUAUAUCAAAUAUACUUAUGUUCACUUUGCCAUCCUUCUUAUCCGCCAAUCACUUGGGGUAGAUCCGCUUCCAGUGACCAGUCCCUUUGCAGUAGAAGCACUUAGUCUCAGGCUUAGGACCAGACUUGGGCUUCUUCACUUGAGCAGCAACUUGCUUGCUGUUCUUCUUGAAGUUCCCCUUCUUCCCUCUGCGCUUUUCUUGAAACUAGUGAUCUUGUCAACCAUCAACACUUGAUGUUUUUCUUGAUUUCUACCUUCGUUGAUUUCAGCAUCACGAAGAGGUUGGGAGUUGUUUCCGUUAUCCCUUUGCAUAUUAUAGUUCAUCACGAAGUUCUACUAACUUGGUGAUGGUGACUAGAGAAUUCUGUCAAUCACUAUCUUAUCUGGAAGAUUAACUCCCACUUGAUUCAAGCGAUUGUAGUACCUAGACAAUCUGAGCACAUGCUCACUAGUUGAGCGAUUCUCCUCCAUCUUUUAGCUAUAGAACUUGUUGGAGAUUUCAUAUCUCUCAACUCGGGUAUUUGCUUGAAAUAUUAACUUCAACUCCUGGAACAUCUCAUAUGGUCCAUGACGUUCAAAACGUCUUUGAAGUCCCGAUUCUAAGCCGUUUAAGCAUGGUGCACUUAAACUAUCAAGUAGUCAUCAUAUUGAGCUAGCCAAACAUUCAUAACGUCUGCAUCUGCUCCUGCAACAGGUCUGUCGCCUAGCGGUGCAUCAAGGACAUAAUUCUUCUGUGCAGCAAAUGAGGAUAAACCUCAGAUCACGGAUCCAAUCCGCAUCAUUGCUACUAACAUCUUUCAACACAAUUUUCUCUAGGAACAUAUCAAAAUAAGCAAAUGAAAGCAACAACGCGAGCUAUUGAUCUACAACAUAGAUAUGCUAAUACUACCAGGACUAAGUUCAUGAUAAAUUAAAGUUCAAUUAAUCAUAUUACUUAAGAACUCCCACUUAGAUAGACAUCCCUCUAAUCAUCUAAGUGAUCACGUGAUCCAAAUCAACUAAACCAUGUCCGAUCAUCACGUGAGAUGGAGCAGUUUCAUUGGUGAACAUCACUAUGUUGAUCAUAUCUACUAUAUGAUUCACGCUCGACCUUUCGGUCUCCGUGUUCCGAGGCCAUAUCUGUAUAUGCUUGGCUCGUCAAGUAUAACCUGAGUAUUCCGCGUGCGCAACUGUUUUGCACCCGUUGUAUUUGAACGUAGAGCCUAUCACACCCGAUCAUCACGUGGUGUCUCAGCACGAAGAACUUUCGCAACAGUGCAUACUCAGGGAGAACACUUCUUGAUAAUUUAGUGAGAGAUCAUCUUAUAAUGCUACCGUCAAUCAAAGCAAGAUAAGAUGCAUAAAAAGAUAAACAUCACAUGCAAUCAAUAUAAGUGAUAUGAUAUGGCCAUCAUCAUCUUGUGCUUGUGAUCUCCAUCUCUGAAGCACCGUCAUGAUCACCAUCGUUACCGGCGCGACACCUUGAUCUCCAUCGUAGCAUCGUUGUCGUCUCGCCAAUCUUAUGCUUCCACGACUAUCACUACCGUUUAGUAAUAAAGUAAAGCAUUACAUCGCGAUUGCAUUGCAUACAAUAAAGCGACAACCAUAUGGCUCCUGCCAGUUGCCGAUAACUUGGUUACAAAACAUGAUCAUCUCAUACAAUAAAAUUCAGCAUCAUGCCUUGACCAUAUCACAUCACAACAUGCCCUGCAAAAACAAGUUAGACAUCCUCUACUUUGUUGUUGCAUGUUUUACGUGGCUGCUACGGGCUUAAGUAAGAACCAAUCUCACCUACGCAUCAAAACCACAACGAUAGUUUGUCAAAUAGACUCCGUUUUAACCUUCGCAAGGACCGGGCGUAGCCACACUCGGUUCAACUAAAGUUGGAGAGACAGUCGCCCGCAAGCCAUCUAUGUGCAAAGCACGUCGAGGGAACCGGUCUCGCGUAAGCGUAAGCGUAAGGUUGGUCCGGGUCGUCUCGUCCAACAAUACCGCCGAACCAAAGUAUGACAUGCUGGUAGGCAGUAUGACUUGUAUCGUCCACAACUCACUUGUGUUCUACUCGUGCAUAUAACAUCAACAUAAAUAACCUAGGCUCUGAUACAACUGUUGGGUUUCGUAGUAAUUUCAAAAAAUUUCCUACGCACACGCAAGAUCAUGUGAUGCAUAGCAACGAGGGGGAGAGUAUUGUCUACGUACCCAACGCAGACCGACUACGGAAGCGAUGACACGACGUAGAGGAAGUAGUCGUACGUCUUCACGAUCCAACCGAUCAAGCACCGAAACUACGGCACCUCCGAGUUCGAGCACACGUUCAGCUCGAUGACGAUCCCCGGACUCCGAUCCAGCAAAGUGUCGGGGAAGAGUUCCGUCAGCACGACGGCGUGGUGACGAUCUUGAUGAACUACAGCAGCAGGGCUUCGCCUAAACUCCGCUACAGUAUUAUCGAGGAAUAUGGUGGCAGGGGGCACCGCACACGGCUAAGGAACAGAUCACGUGGAUCAACUUGUGUCAACUUGUGUGUUAUGGGGUGCCCCUGCCUCAGUAUAUAAAGGAGCCAAAGGGGGGAGGAGGCGCCGGCCAGGAGGAGGUGGCGCAGGAGGAGUCCUACUCCUACCGGGAGUAGGACUCCCCUCCAAUCCUAUUCCAACUAGGAAUCCCCAAAGGGGGAAAGAGGAGAAGGGUGGCCGGCCACCUCUCCUAGUCCUAAUAGGACUAGGGGAAGGGGGGAGGCGCGCAGCCCUGGUGGGCAGCCCUUUCACCUUUCCACUAAGGCCCAUGAAGGCCCAUAUGGCUCCCGGGGGGUUUCGGUAACCUCCCGGUAACCCGGUAAAAUCCCGAUUUCACCCGGAACACUUCCGAUGUCCAAACAUAGGCUUCCAAUAUAUCAAUCUUUAUGUCUCGACCAUUUCGAGACUCCUCGUCAUGUCCGUGAUCACAUCCGGGACUCCGAACAACCUUCGGUACAUCAAAAUGCAUAAACUCAUAAUAUAACUGUCAUCGUAACCUUAAGCGUGCGGACCCUACGGGUUCGAGAACAAUGUAGACAUGACCGAGACACGUCUCUGGUCAAUAACCAAUAGCGGGACCUGGAUGCCCAUAUUGGCUCCUACAUAUUCUACAAAGAUCUUUAUCGGUCAGACCGCAUAACAACAUAUGUUGUUCCCUUUGUCAUCGGUAUGUUACUUGCCCGAGAUUCGAUCAUCGGUAUCCAAUACCUAGUUCAAUCUCGUUACCAGCAAGUCUCUUUACUCGUUCCGUAAUACAUCAUCUCACAACUAACAUAUUAGUUGUAAUGCUUGCAAGGCUUAUGUGAUGUGUGUUACCGAGAGGGCCCAGAGAUACCUCUCCGACAAUCGGAGUGACAAAUCCUAAUCUCGAAAUACACCAACCCAACAUCGACCAUUGGAGACACCUGUAGUACUCCUUUAUAAUCACCCAGUUACGUUGUGACGUUUGGUAGUACCCAAAGUGUUCCUCCGGUAAACGGGAGUUGCAUAAUCUCAUAGUCAUAGGAACAUGUAUAAGUCAUGAAGAAAGCAAUAGCAACAUACUAAACGAUCAGGUGCUAAGCUAAUGGAAUGGGUCAUGUCAAUCAGAUCAUUCAACUAAUGAUGUGACCUCGUUAAUCAAAUAACAACUCAUUGUUCAUGGUCAGGAAACAUAACCAUCUUUGAUUAACGAGCUAGUCAAGUAGAGGCAUACUAGUGACACUCUGUUUGUCUAUGUAUUCACACAUGUAUUAUGUUUCCGGUUAAUACAAUUCUAGCAUGAAUAAUAAACAUUUAUCAUGAUAUAAGGAAAUAAAUAAUAACUUUAUUAUUGCCUCUAGGGCAUAUUUCCUUCACUGACANNNNNNNNNNACAUACGUUGUUCCCUUUGUCAUCGGUAUGUUACUUGCCCGAGAUUUGAUCGUCGGUAUCCAAUACCUAGUUCAAUCUCGUUACCGGCAAGUCUCUUUACUCGUUCCGUAAUACAUCAUCUCACAACUAACAUAUUAGUUGCAAUGCUUGCAAGGCUUAUGUGAUGUGUAUUACCGAGAGGGCCCAGAGAUACCUCUCCGACAAUCGGAGUGACAAAUCCUAAUCUCGAAAUACGCCAACCCAACAUCGACCAUUGGAGACACCUGUAGUACUCCUUUAUAAUCACCCAGUUACGUUGUGACGUUUGGUAGUACCCAAAGUGUUCCUCCGGUAAACGGAAGUUGCAUAAUCUCAUAGUCAUAGGAACAUGUAUAAGUCAUGAAGAAAGCAAUAGCAACAUACUAAACGAUCAGGUGCUAAGCUAAUGGAAUGGGUCAUGUCAAUCAGAUCAUUCAACUAAUGAUGUGACCUCGUUAAUCAAAUAACAACUCAUUGUUCAUGGUCAGGAAACAUAACCAUCUUUGAUUAACGAGCUAGUCAAGUAGAGGCAUACUAGUGACACUCUGUUUGUCUAUGUAUUCACACAUGUAUUAUGUUUCCGGUUAAUACAAUUCUAGCAUGAAUAAUAAACAUUUAUCAUGAUAUAAGGAAAUAAAUAAUAACUUUAUUAUUGCCUCUAGGGCAUAUUUCCUUCAGUCUCCCACUUGCACUAGAGUCAAUAAUCUAGUUCACAUCGCCAUGUGAUUUAACAGCAAUAGUUCACAUCACCAUGUGAUUAACACCCAUAGUUCACAUUGCUAUGUGACCAANNNNNNNNNNCCAACCCAACAUCGACCAUUGGAGACACCUGUAGUACUCCUUUAUAAUCACCCAGUUACGUUGUGACGUUUGGUAGUACCCAAAGUGUUCCUCCGGUAAACGGGAGUUGCAUAAUCUCAUAGUCAUAGGAACAUGUAUAAGUCAUGAAGAAAGCAAUAGCAACAUACUAAACGAUCAGGUGCUAAGCUAAUGGAAUGGGUCAUGUCAAUCAGAUCAUUCAACUAAUGAUGUGACCUCGUUAAUCAAAUAACAACUCAUUGUUCAUGGUCAGGAAACAUAACCAUCUUUGAUUAACGAGCUAGUCAAGUAGAGGCAUACUAGUGACACUCUGUUUGUCUAUGUAUUCACACAUGUAUUAUGUUUCCGGUUAAUACAAUUCUAGCAUGAAUAAUAAACAUUUAUCAUGAUAUAAGGAAAUAAAUAAUAACUUUAUUAUUGCCUCUAGGGCAUAUUUCCUUCACUGACAUGCAUAUUAAUGGGAGACACUAACUGAAAUGUUCUCUGAUGAAGGUUGAAAUGGGCCGGCCUUUUACCUUUCGCGCGUCUGGUUGAGUCUAUCCCGGGUGAGAAACGCAUCGCCAUCGACGGGUCCUUGUUGAGCUGCUUAGUGGACCGUUGGAGGCCAGAGACCCACACGUUUCACUUCCGAUGAGGAGAGAUGGCUCCUACUCUAGAGGAUGUGUCACUUUUGCUCGUACUACCAUUGGCAGGUCAUGCCAUAGGACCGUUGGACGCACCGGCUGGUUGGGAGCGAGCCCUUACACAACGUUUUCAUGGUGUUUUUCCGGAUGCUCCGGAUCCGGUAUGGGAGCAUCACGGACCUAAGUAUGAGUGGUUGCUCAAUUUCCGGGUAAUUUCCCCAACCUCUUUGAAGGAAAUAUGCCCUAGAGGCAAUAAUAAAGUUAUUAUUUAUUUCCUUAUAAUCAUGAUAAAUGUUUAUUAUUCAUGCUAGAAGUGUAUUUACCGGAAACAUAAUACAUGUGUGAAUACAUAGACAAACAAAGUGUCACUAGUAUGCCUCUACUUAACUAGCUCGUUAAUCAAAGAUGGUUAUGUUUCCUAACCAUGAACAAUGAGUUGUUAUUUGAUUAACGAGGUCACAUCAUUAGCAGAAUGAUCUGAUUGACAUGACCCAUUCCAUUAGCUUAGCACCCGAUCGUUUAGUAUGUUGCUAUUGCUUUAUCCAUGACUUAUACAUAUUCCUAUGACUAUGAGAUUAUGCAACUCCCGUUUGCCGGAGGAACACUUUGGGUACUACCAAACGUCACAACGUAACUGGGUGAUUAUAAAGGAGUACUACAGGUGUCUCCAAUGGUAGAUGUUGGGUUGGCGUAUUUCGAGAUUAGGACUUGUCACUCCGAUCGUCGGAGAGGUAUCUCUGGGCCCUCUCGGUAAUGCACAUCACUUAAGCCUUGCAAGCAUGGCAACUAAUGAGUUAGUUGCGGGAUGAUGGAUUACGGAACGAGUAAAGAGACUUGCCGGUAACGAGAUUGAACUAAGUAUUGGAUACUGACGAUCGAAUCUCGGGCAAGUAACAUACCGAUGACAAAGGGAACAACGUAUGUUGUUAUGCGGUCUGACCGAUAAAGAUCUUCGUAGAAUAUGUAGGAACCAAUAUGGGCAUCCAGGUCCCGCUAUUGGUUAUUGACCGGAGACGUGUCUCGGUCAUGUCUACAUUGUUCUCGAACCGUAGGGUCCGCACGCUUAACGUUACGAUGACAGUUAUUAUGAGUUUAUGCAUUUUGAUGUACCGAAGGUUGUUCGGAGUCCCGGAUGUGAUCACGGACAUGACGAGGAGUCUCGAAAUGGUCGAGACGUAAAGAUUGAUAUAUUGGAAGCCUAUGUUUGGACAUCGGAAGUGUUCCGGGUGAAAUCGGGAUUUUACCGGAAUACCGGGAGGGUUACCGGAACCCCCCGGGAGCCAAAUGGGCCAACAUGGGCCUUGGUGGAAAGGUGAAAGGGCUGCCCCAUGGGCUGCGCGCUUCCCCCCCUUUCCCUAGUCCUAUUAGGACUAGGGAAGGUGGCCGGCCAACCCCUCUCUCUUUCCCCACUUGGGGAGUCCUAUUUGGAAUAGGAUUGGAGGGGAGUCCUCCCGGCGGGAGUAGGACUCCUCCUAUGGCUGCCGCACCCCUCCCCCUUUGCCCCUUUAUAUACGGGGGCAGGGGGCACCUCUUCACACGCAAUUGAUCAUUGAGAUCGUUCCUUAGCCGUGUGCGGUGCCCCCUGCCACCAUAUUCUACCUCGGUCAUAUUGUUGCAGUGCUUAGGCGAAGCCCUGCGUCGGUAGUACAUCAAGAUCGUCACCACGCCGUCGUGCUGACGGAACUCUUCCUCGACGCUUUGUUGGAUCGGAGCCCGAGGAUCGUCAUCGAGCUGAACGUGUGCUAAGAACUCGGAGGUGCCGGAGUAACGGUGCUUGGAUCGGUCGGAUCGAGAAGAAGACGUAUGACUACUUCCUCUACGUUGUGUCAACGCUUCCGUUGCGAUCUACAAGGGUACGUAGAUCACACUCUCCCCUCGUUGCUAUGCAUCACCAUGAUCUUGCAUGUGCGUAGGAAAUUUUUUGAAAUUACUACGUUCCCCAACAGUGGCAUCCGAGCCUAGGUUUUAUGGUUUGAUGUUAUUUGCACGAGUAGAACACAAGUGAGUUGUGGACGAUACAAGUCAUACUGCCUACCAGCAUGUCAUACUUUGGUUCGGCGGUAUUGUUGGACGAGACGACCUGGACCAACCUUACGCGUACGCUUACGCGAGACCGGUUCCCUCGACGUGCUUUGCACAUAGAUGGCUUGCGGGCGACUGUCUCUCCAACUUUAGUUGAACCAAGUGUGGCUACGCCCGGUCCUUGAGAAGGUUAAAACGGAGUCUAUUUGACAAACUAUCGUUGUUGUUUUUGAUGCGUAGGUGAGAUAAGUUCUUACUUAAGCCCGUAGCAGCCACGUAAAACUUGCAACAACAAAGUAGAGGACGUCUAACUUGUUUUUGCAGGGCAUGUUGUGAUGUGAUAUGGUCAAGGCAUGAUGCUAAAUUUUUUUGUAUGAGAUGAUCAUGUUUUGUAACCGAGUUAUCGGCAACUGGCUGGAGCCAUAUGGUUGUCGCUUUAUUGUAUGCAAUGCAAUCGCAAUGUAAUGCUUUACUUUAUUACUAAACGAUAGUGAUAGUCGUGGAAGCAUAAGAUUGGCGAGACGACAACGAUGCUAUGACGGAGAUCAAGGUGUCACGCCGGUGACGAUGGUGAUCAUGACGGUGCUUCGGAGAUGGAGAUCACAGGCACAAGAUGAUGAUGGCCAUAUCAUAUCACUUAUAUUGAUUGCAUGUGAUGUUUAUCUUUUAUGCAUCUUAUCUUGCUUUGAUUGACGGUAGCAUUAUAAGAUGAUCUCUCACUAAAUUAUCAAGAAGUGUUCUCCCUGAGUAUGCACCGUUGCGAAAGUUCUUCGUGCUGAGACACCACGUGAUGAUCGGGUGUGAUAGGCUCUACGUUCAAAUACAACGGGUGCAAAACAGUUGCACACGCGGAAUACUCAGGUUAUACUUGACGAGCCAAGCAUAUACAGAUAUGGCCUCGGAACACGGAGACCGAAAGGUCGAGCGUGAAUCAUAUAGUGGAUAUGAUCAACAUAACGAUGUUCACCAUUGAAAACUACUCCAUCUCACGUGAUGAUCGGACAUGGUUUGGUUGAUUUGGAUCACGUGAUCACUUAGAUGACUAGAGAGAUGUCUGUCUAAGUGGGAGUUCUUAAGUAAUAUGAUUAAUUGAACUUAAAUUUAUCAUGAACUUAGUCCUGGUAGUAUUUUGCAAAUUAUGUUGUAGAUCAAUAGCUUGCAUUGUUGCUUUCAUAUGUUUAUUUUGAUAUGUUCCUAGAGAAAAUUGUGUUGAAAAUGUUAGUAGCAAUGAUGCGGAUUGGAUCCGUGAUCUGAGGUUUAUCCUCAUUGCUGCACAGAAGAAUUAUGUCCUUAAUGCACCGCUAGGUGACAGACCUAUUGCAGGAGCAGAUGUAGACGUUAUGAACAUUUAGCUAAGCUCAAUAUGAUGACUACUUGAUAGUUUAGUGCACCAUGCUUAACGGCUUAGAAUCGGGACUUCAAAGACGUUUUUGAACGUCAUGGACCAUAUAAGAUGUUCCAGGAGUUGAAGUUAAUAUUUCAAGAAAAUACCCGAGUUGAGAGAUAUGAAGUCUCCAACAAGUUCUAUAGCUUAAAGAUGGAGGAGAAUCGCUCAACUAGUGAGCAUGUGCUCAGAUUGUCUGGGUACUUCAAUCGCUUGAAUCAAGUGGGAGUUAAUCUUCCAGAUAAGAUAGUGAUUGACAGAAUUCUCUAGUCACCAUCACUAAGUUACUAGAACUUUGUGAUGAACUAUAAUAUGCAAGGGAUGACGAAAGUUAUUCCUGAGCUCUUCGCGAUGUUGAGAUUGGCGAAGGUAGAAAUCAAAAAAAAAGAGAGCAUCAAGUGUUGAUGGUUAACAAGAUCACUAGUUUCAAGAAAAAAGGCAAAGGGAAAAGAAGGGGAACUUCAAGAAGAACGGCAAGCAAGUUGCUGCUCAAGUGAAGAAACCCAAGUCUGGUCCUAAGCCUGAGACUAAGUGCUUCUACUGCAAAGAGACUAGUCACUGGAAGAGGUACUACCCCAAGUGAUUGGCGGAUAAGAAGGAUGGCAAAGUGAACAUAAGUGUAUUUGAUAUACAUGUUAUUGAUGUGUACGUUACUAGUGUUUAUAGCAACCCCUCAGUAUUUGAUACUAGUUCAGUUGCUAAGAUUAGUAACUCGAAACGGGAGUUGCAGAAUAAACAGAGACUAGUUAAGGGUGAAGUGACGAUGUGUGUUGGAAAUAGUUCCAAGAUUGAUAUGAUCAUCAUCGCACACUCCCUAUACUUUCGGGAUUAGUGUUAAACCUAAAUAAGUGUUAUUUGGUGUUUGCGUUGAGCAUGAAUAUGAUUUGAUCAUGUUUAUUGCAAUACGGUUAUUCAUGUAAGUUAGAGAAUAAUUGUUGUUCUGUUUUCAUGAAUAAAACCUUCUAUGGUCAUACACCCAAUGAAAAUGGUUUGUUGGAUCUCGAUCGUGUGAUACACACAUUCAUAAUAUUGAAGCCAAAAGAUGCAAAGUUAAUAAUGAUAGUGCAACUUAUUUGUGGCACUGCCGUUUGGGUCAUAUCGGUGUAAAGCGCAUGAAUAAACUCCAUAAAGAUGGAUUUUCAGAAUCACUUGGUUAUGAAUCAUUUGAUGCUUGCGAACCGUGCCUUUUGGGCAAGAUGACUAAAACUCCGUUCUUCGAAACAAUGGAACGAGCUACUGACUUAUUGGAAAUAAUACAUACUGAUGUAUGCAGACCAAUGAGUAUGAAGGCUCGUGGCAAGUUUCGUUAUUUUCUGACCUUCACAAGAUGAUUUGAGCAGAUAUGGGUAUAUCUACUUGAUGAAACAUAAGUCUGAAAUAGUUGAAAGGUUCAAAGAAUUUCAGAGUGAAGUGGAAAAUCAUCGUAACAAGAAAAUAAAGUUUCUGCGAUCUGAUCAUGGAGAUGAAUAUUUGAGUUACGAGUUUGGUCUUCAAUUAAAACAAUGUGGAAAAGUUUCACAGCUCACGCCACCUGGAACACCACAACAUUAUGGUGUGUCCGAACGUCGUAACCACACUUUAUUUGAUAUAGUGUGAUCUAUGAUGUCUCUUACUGAUUUACCAAUAUUGUUUUGGGGUUAUGCAUUAGAGACAGCUGCAUUCACAUUAAAAGGGCACCAUCUAAAUCCGUUGAGACGACAACAUAUGAACUGUGGUUUAGCAAGAAAACCAAGUUGUCGUUUCUUAAAGUUUGGGGCUGCGAUGCUUAUGUGAAAAAGUUUCAUCCUGAUAAGCUCGAACCCAAAUCGAAGAAGUGCAUCUUCAUAGAAUACACAAAGGAAAUAGUUGGGUACACCUUCUAUCACAGAUCUGAAGGCAAGAUAUUCGUUGCUAAAAAUGGAUCCUUUCUAGAGAAGGAGUUUCUCUCGAAAGAAGUGAGUGGGAGGAAAGUAGAACUUGAUGAGGUAAAUGUACCUGUUCUCUUAUUGGAAAGUAGUUCAUCACAGAAAUCAGUUCCUGUGACAAAUACACCAAUUAGUGAGGAAGCUAAUGAUAUUGAUCAUGAAACUUCAGAUCAAGUUACUACAGAACCUCGUAGGUCUUCCAGAGUAAGAUCCGCACCAAAGUGGUGUAGUAAUCAUGUUCUGGAAGUCAUGUUACUAGACCAUGAUGAACCUAUGAACUAUGAGGAAGCGAUGAUGAGCCCAGAUUCCGUGAAAUGGCUCGAGGCCAUAAAAUCUGAGAUAUGAUCCAUGUAUGAGAACAAAGUAUGGACUUUGAUUGACUUGCUCGAUGAUCAGCAAGCCAUGUUAAAUAAAUGGAUCUUCAAGAGGAAGACGGACAAUGAUAGUAGUAUUACUAUCUACCAAGCUCGACUUGUUGCGAAAGGUUUUCAACAAGUUCAAGGUGUUGAAUACGAUGAGAUUUUCUCACUCGUAUCGAUGCUUAAGUCUGUCUGAAUCAUGUUAGCAAUUGCCACAUUUUAUGAAAUCUGGCAAAUGGAUGUCAAAACGGCAUUCCUUAAUGGAUUUAUUAAAGAAGAGUUGUAUAUGAUGCAACCAGAAGGUUUUGUCAAUCCUAAAGGUGCUAACAAAAUGUGCAAGCUCCAGCGAUCCAUCUAUGGACUGGUGCAAGCAUCUCGGAGUUGGAAUAUACGCUUUGAUAAGUUGAUCAAAGCAUAUAGUUUUAUAUGGACUUACGAUGAAGCCUGUAUUUACAAUAAAGUGAGUGGGAGCACUACAGCCUUUCUGAUUAGUAUAUGUGAGUGACAUAUUGUUGAUCAGAAAUGAUGUAGAAUUUUUCUGCAAAGCAUAAAGGAGUGUUUUAAAGAAGUUCUUUAAAAAGAAAAGACCUCAGGAAAAGCUACUUACAUAUUGAGCAUCAAGAUCUAUUGAGAUAGAUCAAGACGCUUGAUAAGAUUUUCAAUGAGUACAUACUUUGGCAAGAUUUUGAAAUAGUUCAAAACGGAACAGUCAAAGAAAGAGUUCUUGCCUGUGUUGCAAAGGUAUGAAAUUGAGUAAGACUCAAAUCCCGACCACAGCAGAAAAUAGAAAAAGAAUGAAAAGUCAUUCCCUAUGCCUCAGUCAUAGGUUCUAUAAAGUAUGCUAUGCUAUGUACCAGACCUAUUGUAUACCUUGCUCUGAAUUUGGCAAGGGAGUACAAUAGUGACCUAGGAGUAGAUCACUGGACAUUCUUGACCAAUGUCCAGUGAUCUACUCCUAGGUCACUAGUCCUAUUAGGACUAGGGAAGGUGGCCGGCCAACCCCUCUCUCUUUCCCCACUUGGGGAGUCCUAUUUGGAAUAGGAUUGGAGGGGAGUCCUACUCCCGGCGGGAGUAGGACUCCUCCUAUGGCUGCUGCACCCCUCCCCCUUUGCCCCUUUAUAUACGGGGGCAGGGGGCACCUCUUCACACGCAAUUGAUCAUUGAGAUCGUUCCUUAGCCGUGUGCGGUGCCCCCUGCCACCAUAUUCUACCUCGGUCAUAUUGUUGCAGUGCUUAGGCGAAGCCCUGCGUCGGUAGUACAUCAAGAUCGUCACCACGCCGUCGUGCUGACGGAACUCUUCCUCGACGCUUUGCUGGAUCGGAGCCCGAGGAUCGUCAUCGAGCUGAACGUGUGCUAAGAACUCGGAGGUGCCGGAGUAACGGUGCUUGGAUCGGUCGGAUCGAGAAGAAGACGUACGACUACUUCCUCUACGUUGUGUCAACGCUUCCGUUGCGAUCUACAAGGGUACGUAGAUCACACUCUCCCCUCGUUGCUAUGCAUCACCAUGAUCUUGCGUGUGCGUAGGAAUUUUUUUGAAAUUACUACGUUCCCCAACACUCUUAUCUUCAAGUUAUCGUGCAUAUGGUUUUACAGAAAAUAACCGCGGCUAACUAAAACUUUCUCUUUGCUUAAUGCAGAUCCAAAACUUCCGGGCGCCGUUGACUGCGGAACAGAUCACUCGGAGCCUGGAGGCCUACUUAAUGUGGCUUUUCGGCAAGGUGAUGUUCACAGAGAACCAUGUCACCACUAUUAGCGCGCUCUACAUACCUAUGGCACUCGAGAUAGUGAGCGCUCAGACGGCGGAUCAGAUCAGACAGAGGAGUUGGGGUUCGGCGGUCUUAGCGGCUACAUACCGAGGUAUGUGCAACGGUUGCCAGCUUACAUCGAGAAAGCCAGCCCUUCUUGGAUGCCCUCUAUUCCUACAACUACGGUCGUGGGAGAGGUUCUCUAUAGGGCGACCAGAUGUACGUGUUCGUGAGCCUAUAGACGCCAUGUUUGAUGUUGAUGGCAUCGAUAUGCCUACUUUCGGUCUGUGUUGGACACGUCGCGAGGUAUGCACCGUGUUAUAGUUUAAUGCAACUUUUUUCUGCACAAGAGAUAGUUCGAUGCUAGCGGCUACUAACUCUUGUUUUCUGCAGAGAUGCUUUGCUAGUGAUUAGACCAGGAAGGCAUACACAACAUUGAACGAGCAGUUCGAUGCGUACACCGGGGUCAUUUGGCAGCCCUACAUGGAAGCAGCCAUAGAAGCGAGAUACCCUGGUGGUCUGUCUAUGCUAUGCACAAGGGACCGAGAUUACUGGAUGACAAAAUCAAAGAUCAUCUUCGAUGUCUUCGUCGAGGAGAUGGCACAACAGAGGGUUAUGAGGCAAUUUGGUCUUCUGCAGUUGGAGCUGCCUCCCCCUAUAGAGAACCCGGUGCCAGCACACAUCCACAGGUAUUAACCAGUUUUUCAAUAUUGCAUUAUCUUUCAUAGUACUCCAUUCGAAGCUUUAGGUAAUUGUUGAACACACACCACAAUUUUAGGACGACAAGGAAGGGCAUGACCAGGACAACUGCUGACUGGCUAGUUAGACUAGAGCCGUAUGUUAUAGAAUGGGAGACAACAAACACACAUCUAUGGCACGAGAAUCACAAUUUUGAUCUCAAUGAAUUCAAUCUCUAUUUGCGGUGCUACAUGACCGGAACACGGUUAUGCAUCGUUGAGCACUCCCACCCAGAGGAGAUACCGGAUCCUACACCGUCGGAUAUGUACCCGAGCUAUGACACUUCGGGCUCUAGGCAGUACGCGGUAAGAUAUAUUUUCUUUAAGUAAUGUUGUCACAUACUUUGACGUGCAAGAGACAUACAUUAUUAAUCGUCAUGGAAAUUUGCAGGCUACCUUGACACACGAACUCUACGAGGAUGUGACCACCUUUGGACGAUCACUGUCGUCUGGACCUCUUCUUCAACACCGUCUAGUGCUACAGCCCUUCUUGGAAUGAAUUCAGAACAAGAUACGGACUGUGUACGAGGCUAACACGUGCACCCGGAGAACCGACGUUGUUCAGCACCAGCAGCAGUAGCCGCGUCACUCCAUGCACCGACAUCAACCACGUCCACGUCUAGCACAUCAGCCGACAACCAGGCCACCCCGUCCUGACCAAUCUGGCAGUUCAACGUGGCAGCAACCACAUCACUGUAGUCCCACGUCGAGCUUCGUGUUUUCUCCACAGCCACAGCAGCAUGGUCCCUCGUCAAGCUUCGUGUUUUCCCCACAGCCACAACAACACGGUCCCUCGCCGGGCUUCGUGUUUGAGCCAGAGCAGCCGUCACAACCAGCAGGUAAGUGUCUUCAUUUUUAUUGUUUUCAAUAUUAAUUGAGGCGACCUCAUUCUUCAUGACUAUACGUUCCAUCGUGCAGGAUCCUACGGAUAUUAUGCGUCCAUGUCAGCAUCACAUGAUACGUGGGGGAGUGAUCAACAUUCCGAGGAGAACAUACAUGCUCAGAUGUCGCAGCACACCCAGUGGAUGAACAUGUAUUCGACUCCUCCACCAGGCCCCACACAGGAUACACAGCAUGGCCAGAGAGAGUCUGAAAUUCCUCCUCGUAACAUUAGGCCACCUAACAGGUUGGGAUGGUCGCCGCUUCCAGAUCCGCCUCCCCGCCAGGCCAGACGUCGUCACUGACGCUUCCAUCUGUCAGUAGAGACAUGACCAUCUACUUAUGGACGAGACUUAUGUCUAUUGAAUGUAUGAGACAAAUAACUAUGUAAUUAUGUAUGAGACAUAUGCCUACUCUAUUUUAGUACUCUGUUAUCCGAACUACAACAUCAUAUUUAGAUAGAACACAAUGCACGCAACAAGACAGUAUAAACAACUAGAUAGAACUACAUCUGAAUUAACGGUACGUAUGACUAAACUUACAACAUACAUCAUAAAAACUACAUGAAGUCAUCAUCGUCAUCCUCCGUCGAUGCAGAACUCUUGCCCUUCGAGGAUGUAGAACUCUUACCCUUGGAUGAUGCAGAACUCUUGCCCUUCGAGGAUGCAGUACUCUUGCCCUUGGACGAUGCAAAACUCUUGCUCUUUGACGAUGCAGAACCCGGAAGCGGCGGCAUGAAGAUAUCAUCUUCGUCCUCGCUCUCCUUAGUCCAUAAAAAUGGGUGCUUUUCUGCAGUCCUUCUGAAAGUUUCACUCUUCGGCUCCACUACCUUCUUCCACCUUGCAUGCAACCUAAGAAGUUCUAUACGUACCUCCUCAUAGGUCCUUUCAGGCCACCGAGACAUAUGUAAUUCGUGAGCCAACUCAUUCAUUAUGGUGUCACUACCGGUGAGUUCGUCCCAUGGAACCAUCCUAUUGUCCAUCCAGAAAUCGGUAGAUAGCCUCAGAAGAGUCCUGCUCAUCUCAGGGUGAAAACUACGAUCAAAAGGAUAAUGGGACAUCUCAACUACACUACACUGGAAUGCUUAUCCUCCUCUGUCUGAAGGGGGUUUUAUAGGUAGGGAUGAGAAAAUGGCGGGAAAGAACUACUGUGAUAUGGCGGGAAACGAUUGGCGGGAAACGGGUGGCGGAAAAGAGUUGGCGCGAACAUAUGGCGGGAAAUGGGUGGCGGGAAAGAGUUGGCGCGAACAUAUGGCGGGAAACAGGUGGCGGGAAAGAGUUGGCGCGAACAUNNNNNNNNNNNNNNNNNNNNNNNNNNNNNNNNNNNNNNNNNNNNNNNNNNNNNNNNNNNNNNNNNNNNNNNNNNNNNNNNNNNNNNNNNNNNNNNNNNNNNNNNNNNNNNNNNNNNNNNNNNNNNNNNNNNNNNNNNNNNNNNNNNNNNNNNNNNNNNNNNNNUAUAGCGGGAAACGGGUGGCGGGAAAGAGUUGGCGCGAACAUAUGGCGGGAAACGGGUGGCGGGAAAGAGUUGGCGCGAACAUAUGGCGGGAAAAUAUUGCGAGGAAAGGGUUGCGCGAAAUACGUCAUAGUUUAUAAAAAAAUCCAGGGAUCGUUCGGGACAAAAAUGGUGGCAUGCACCGGUCGGCCCAUAGCAGGCCAAUUAGUCCCUGUCGGCCCAUAGCGGGCCAAUUAGUCCCUGUCGGCCCACAGCAGGCCAAUUAGUCCCUGUCGGUCCACUACUGGCCGAGUGGACCUGAACUGGUGGCCGACAAGCCAAUCGGCCAGCAGCAAGCUGAUAGGAUCUCAGUCGGCCUGCUGUGGGCCGACUAGGUCUACUCGGCCUGCUGCGGGCCGACGGUGUAUUAUUUUUGAAAAUUAUUUUUUGGGCGUAAUAUUUGUGCAAAUUAAUAAAAAAAAUGUAUUAUUUUAAAAAAAUAGCCUCAAUUAUAGCAGCAACAAAGGCCACCAUGGUCCGGUGUGCAGUGGCCUUUUUUGAAUUCAAAAAAUGCGCAAUGAUCAAUGCAUGGCUGGUCGGAUAAAGUGUCUCAUUCACAACUUUUAAAUUUGAUACACAUCGUAGGGAAGGGGAGUUGGUUUUGGAUCUAUCCACAACAAAAUAUAGCAAACUUAGAAUAUAUAAAAUACUUAAGUUACUUGGGUUAGUUUGAAUUACAUACGUAAAGGUAUGUGCGCUUACACAAAGUGCGCAUAAAUAAAUCCCAAAAACAAGCAGAAAGAUUGAUUAGAUAGAUAAAUGGUUGUACCUGCAUGACAUGAGAAUAGAGUAGACAUCAUCACAAGAGCUACCAAGCAUAGAGCUCUUGUGUUGCUCUUGGUAAGUCCCAUAAGAAGUGGCUUGUUACUUAUUUCUUGUAUGUAUGUUUGUUCUUGUAGUUUGUA
rnacentral:lncRNA from 1 species